UGAAAAAUUAAAACAAGCUUCUAACAAGUGAGUACUAUAGCAAUUCCAAUGAGAUUCAAGUCUCCCCUCAUGCAACAUUCACUAUGCAUUUACUCGUUAAAAAUGAAUUUGAUUAAAUCAUGUCUCCUUAAUUUGAAAAGAUGUUAUCACCAAAAUAAAUUGAAUAAAUUAAACAAGCCAAUGAACACAGUCAUUAAUAUUUGCAUUAUGAUAGAUUGUCUAUGUUACAUUCCUCGAAGUGCAGCCCUUCUUCGGAUUAUGCGUGAAAACCAGAUGUGUGACGCUCUUCCCAAUGUCGCGCUUCUGUAAAUUUAUCUUAGCCACUAUUGACAGCGAUCUCUCGAUACCCCUGACAAGAAAUCUAAAUGGAUAACUUCUUGAUGAUGAUGAAGCUCAGAAAAGAAUGAAUUUGGCUUUAGAUGAUUUUUACAUAAUGGGCAAGCCAUAUUACGUCCACAAUUCAUCCACCUAUCCAAACAAACCCUAUGAAACGCAUGAUCACAUCUCAACUCUCUAACUUCUUCUCCUCCUUCAAUCUUGCACAAACAUAUAGCACAUUCUACUGAAUCCAAAUUAGACCCCAAAUCGUGCCCGAAACGCCUUAUUCUAAGCUCAUUAUUAUGAUCAUGAGGUGUUGUAGCUGCAUCUUCAGAAAUGGCAGUGAAGUUGUAAUUACAAGAAUAAGAGAAAGAUUGAAAGAAUAGAACAUUCCAAGCCCAUUUCAGAUGUGUAAUAAUAAAGUCUAUGUAGUUUAGUAAUUUUGAUUGAGGAAACAUUUGAAAUGCUUUUUUAAAGAUGUAGCUGAAGAUAAUACAUAGAAAGAAGAAGUAAAUGGAUAAUGAAGAUGGCCUCAUUUUUUUAAGUGAUGAGAGAUAAUUAAACUGGGGUUUGGGAUUUUGCUGUAGGAGAAAUAAUAUGCACACUAAGGUUUAUAUAGUUAUCUAAAGGCAGAUCCUAAGUAGCUGAACUGAUAUUAAAAUAAUACUAUUAUUUAUUUAUUUGCAUUAAUCAUGUUGUACACAAAGUUUGAAUAUAGAGUAACUGAUAUUUGACUUACACUCAGGAAAAUGCAUGUGUUGCGCCGUCUUUGUUGUCAAGAAUGAAUUGUUUCAACCUUGGACUACAUUGGUUGCGAUCGAGCAGAUGAAAUUUUUCUUAUUUAUACAUAUAAAGUUUAACUUUGUUAUAUUGAUAAAACUAGAAAUACAAUAUUCUUGUUAUAGUCACUCGCCUGAAGAUUCACAAACUUUUUUUAGCCAGUUGAAGUACAUCGCGCAAAUUUUUCUUUAAAAUAACUCAAGUAAUCAUAAUUUUUAACAUUCUUGGAAAUAAAGAACCUUUAGCAUUCAAGAAAUGUUGAAAGCCCUUGUACCAAAUGGACCGUGGAUAUCAAUUUGAGGAGUUUGACAAAAAAAGAAAGAAAUAUCGAGAGUAUGAACAACAAAAGGAACAACCUCAUAUUCAUGGAGGUUGUUUUUCCACAUACCUUUAGCAUAUCUCUCAGCAUAAGCUUCAGAAUAUUCUAGUUGAAAUUAUUUAGGGACUUGUUGUGUGCCUCUGAAUAAAGACUUAAAAUACAAAAAUACAAAAUGAAUACGCUCUCGUUUUGUGGUUAUUGGAGUCGUUUGUAGAAUUGAAUAACAAAAAUAAAGGAGCAAAAAACUUAAUGUACAAUAUUUAUGCCUUAAAAUCAGCCUCCUAUCCUCCGAUGGAAAUGAAGUCUCAAGAGAAAAGAAAAAUAGGGUUAAUAUUACUCGUUGAACUGUAUAUUUUAACAUCUCAAGUGGGAAAAAAACGUUGUGAAACUGCAUCACAAAAUGUUCUCUUGUAUAUAUCGUAUCCACAUAUAUGCACAAAAAUAAUACUAUCUUUCUAGUAUAGAGUAUACUAUGAAUCUUUUCACCAGUUGUAAUACCCUAUAUUUUAAAUAAUGUGUAUUGGUAAUAACAAUAACAAUAAUAAUUAUUAUUAUAAUAACAAAAAAUUAUAAGAAAAUUAACUACUGUCAAAAAAAAAGAGAAAAGUUAGGCAAAAAAGGCCGAAGCCCAACCUACUAUAGAAACAAAAAGGGCAAAAGGUGGCUGCAAAAUUCAAAGAAGCAAAAAGCUUCAACAGAACGUGAAAAAGAAGAAGAAAAUAACAAACAGGGAAAGAAAAAGGGGGAAAGAGAAGAAGAAGAAAAAAAGGAGGUUGGUACCAAACCUUAAUACGCAUUGAUUCCUACGGGUAAUACUCGAAUUCCUCAUCUGGGUUCUUUUCUUUUGGUAAUUCUUUUCAUCCUGGUUCAUAUAUUUGAAGGGUUUCACAAUGUAUAAAAAAUUAAAUACCAAUAAGAAUUAUUCUGGGCAAAUGAAGAGUCAAACAUGAAACCUCGAGGGUUGGGUAUUCUAAAAUAGCUAUGAAGUUGCCUAAAUAAGAAAAUUAACAUGACAUCGAUAUUAUGGAAUUAUAGAUUGAUUGGAGGAAUUUGUACGAAUCGCUCGAGGUGAAGCAUUUGGUAUUUCGGCACGAGUACUGUGAGUAGUAAUCUUAUCACAAUUUGUGUUUUCAUAACCUUCAUAGUUUAUAUAUAGUUUUUGAAAAUAAAUGUAUUACCGAUGCUUUGAAAUCUGCAUGUGGGACAAGUCCUUUACUUUAUAUGAUACCGAACAGUUCUUACCGGUUAAUAAAGAUAUUUUCAUUGUUACAAGAUAUGCUUUACCGUUACUUGAGACAUGAUUACUGUUGCCGAAAUAGACUUACAAGAUUUGAAAAGGAAUGAUAUGCCCUUUAUUAUUUUGAAAAUGCUUCAAUACGAGUAUUUAUGGUUUACAAGAAAGAAUAUAAAUGGGAGGAGACUUUGAAGGAUCCCGUANNNNNNNNNNNNNNNNNNNNNNNNNNNNNNNNNNNNNNNNNNNNNNNNNNNNNNNNNNNNNNNNNNNNNNNNNNNNNGAAGGUAGAACUAGCAUACAGUUACAGUUUUCCCUCGAGUAGGGACCUACAGUUAUAUUUGUCUCCUUUUACGAAGGGUUCCACAUAGUGAUACAGAUUACAUGAUCCUUUUCUAAAACCUCCCAAAUAUAAGGAUUUGCUAUGACACACUAUUUGCCAAGUUUAUUACUGAAUUGUUAAAUUGAUUUUGUCACAGGAAACACAUGGUGAUACUGAUUAUUAUUAUCGUUUUAAAAAUGGCAUUUUAUUUUGUGAUUAUUAUGUAAACAUGUUUUCUGACUUGUCCCCAGAUAAAAAUGGUUGUGGUUAAGUGUUAUUACUUACUGAGUUAGAAACUCAUUCCCCGCUAAUUUUUUUUCAGAGACAGCAGUUGACACAGGCGAGAAUUUCGUUAAUUAGAGCGUACAGGUUGAGAAUUCUUGGUGAGUCUCGCACUUUUUUUUUUGGUUCCACUUGUCAAUCGCCUAGGGUUAAUUUUUAUAAAUAAACAGAAAAGAAAAUUACAACAAAUAGGAACAAUAAAAUAAGGCGAGUUACACCGGUAAUGUCACCCAUGUAACACUGCCGGCAUAAACCUUAUCUUAGCUAUCCUAUUGAGGCAAAUAACAGCCUCAUGUACUAACAAGCAUGUAAAAAGAAAGAGCUCGCAACAACUAAGAAUUGAGUGAUCAUCACAGAGUUUAUAACAAGGUCUGUGAUGAUAUUACACAAAAUAAUACUAAUGUGAUGGUAAAAUAAAAAGAUGAAGAAGCCAUAAAGAUGCCCCUUUUUCUCUUUUGUUGUGAAAAAUUUGAUUUGAAGAAUGAUGUCUUCUUCCCAAUAAUUUUUCAAAAAGUCUUCAAAGUUCAUGAUAUAUUCUUCAGGCGAUUGGAUUUUGGAAGAAUUGUUUGAGCGGCAUGUUUUUGUUUUGCAGUUCUCAUUGGGGGCUUCCUUAUGUUUACGUCUUCAACCAUCCUGCCGUCCCAACUUCUUUCCCUUUGAUGAGACUUCUUAUUUCUUGCACUGUGCAAUGGUGACAAAUCUCUUUUUGUUGAAGCAUCUGCUCGGCAUUGGUUUAAGAUAUCCUCUUCUUCCCCUUCUUCGUAUAUAUGUUUUCCUGCGAAACUUAUAUUUGGCAAUUCUUGACAGACACCUUUAGUUGUUAAUUGUGCAUUGCUCAUGACAGAACUACCAGCAAUAAGGUUAGUUUUUGUAUUCACCAUUGCUUCCAAGAGUUGCCUUUCCUCGGACGAGAUUACUGAAGCAGUUGUGACGAGCUGCCCCGCCUGAGACCUUGCUACUGUGUUGACAUCAGCAGAAUGAGAGUUAGUUGUAGCAUUCCUUUGCUGCUCCUGAUUUGAUAUCAUAGUUGGCGUCACGGUAUCCGAAAAUUUUCUGUCCUCUAAGUUAGAGACUUGUUCUGUUGUUGCAACCUUAUUCUGGCUAGUCUAUGGCAGCAGAGUUGAAAUUCGAUCACCAACUGAAGCUUCGGCGGAGUUCAGUUGACGAUUAUGUGAUGUAUCAUUGUUGUUGAACUUUGAUGUCCCUUCAAUUGAGCUAACUGCUUUUGCGUUAUUUCUACGAUUAUGUGUUGUAUCAUUGUUGUUCAACUUUGAUGUCCCUUCAAUUGAGCUAACUGCUUUUGUGUUAUUUCUUGGAACAAAAAUUGGAGCAUUAUGGUUUAAACUGCUGUUUGGAUUGCUGUUUGUUUCAUAGUUGCGCGACAGUUCUAAUUUGUAUUUUUCCUUUGACAUUUUUGCUCGACUGAAUCAUCACUGUCUUCUUCAGUACUGUCUUGAUCACACUCUUGGUCUUCUUCUUCCCAUGAAAAACUAGCGAGUCCUUCUCUCCAGCUCUCCUCAUCAUCGUAGUCUCGUUGGUCUUUCCACAAUUUUGAUUUAAUGGCCUUUGCCCUCUUUGGCACAGUAGGAGUAGCUAUGAUUGGAGAACUAUUAAGUUUUGAUUGUAUUUGCAUAUUUGUACCAGUAGCAUGAGCUGCAUUUUUGCCUCUGAAUUCUGUGAUCUAGUUUGACUGUGACAAGUCUGCAAAUUUUCUCCCAAGGUUUUUCCUUCAUCAUCAUUGACAUUGGUAAGUACGUCAAAUGAGUUUGACAUUGAAGGUAAAGUUGGAUUUUUUCCUGCGAUCUGAUUUUCAUUUUUGAUAUUUGGAGAUACUGCUUUGUUGGCCAUCGAUGACCAUUGUCCCUCUUCCCUUGUGUGUCGACGAUUAUCAGUAGAAUGUAAAGCAGAAUUUUCUUGAACCAGUGCAGCUUUAGAGACAGUAUCAGCUGCUGUACAUGUAAUGAUCCCAUUUCCUUGUUAGUCCCUGCCUUGCUGGUUAACAGUAUGUUGAAUGAGAGAGGUCUGUGCAGUAUCCUUAUCAUACUAAACUGUUGUUCUGUGGAUACCAUCCUUCACUGCUUCCUGGUUCCCAAUCUAUGAUGCAGCUCGAUCAAUAGAGCACUGCCUAGAAAAUGUAGUUGUUUCAUUUUGUACUAUCCAAUUAGCAGUGUUGGUAUCCCUUGUACCAGAUGCUGCAAAUUCCAAUUCGAUAACAUCACAUUGGAUAUCCAUUACUGCAUUUUGCCCAGUGCAUAUAUUGACAUCACUUGCUAUAUAUGGCUUAAUAAGUGGCUACACAUCAUCUAUGUGUAUGGAAUUGGGAUCGUGCCCUUUGCAUGAGUCAUUUGAAACUAUAAUAAAGGCUGAGGAUUUAAUUAAACCAUUACAUCCUGCAGUGACAGCAUGAUUUGCAACAGGUUUGGCAGGAUGCAGUAGCUCCAAAUUUUUGUCAUUUGCUUGACAAAAAAGUUUAGGUUUGUUAUUGUUAAUGUUGUGUAACAGCUGUUGCUGCUUAGAUACCAGUUGUUCAAUCAUGUUUGAGUUAUGAAAUGCAUUCUCAGUUUAUUGUUAAUGUUGUGUAACAGAUAUUGCUGCUCAGAUACCAGUUGUUCAAUCCUAUUUGAGUUAUGAAAUGCAUUCUCAGCUGAUGCAACAAUAGCCUUUGACACCACCUUUUCACUGGGAGCAUUCACAUUGGAUGGAACAGUAUAAGCAUUUUAACACAGCUAUGCUAUUUCAACAUUCUGCAUUGAAAGAUCUUCUGCAGCUAGAAUAGCUGGACCAGAAUCAUUAUUUUGACUUGCAUCAGAAGCCACAUUAGGAAUGAACCCAGCCAAAUUUGACAUCAGCUGUUCGCUGUGAUUGGAUGGAACAGUAGAUUGUCUUUUACAAAUAUGUGUUGUAUCAGCAUUUGGAUACACUUCUGUAGACAACACUUGUUCAUUUCUGUUUGCCUUAUGAUGUGAAGCCUCUGCAGCUGCAACUGUCAAUUUUGGCACCAUCUGUUCAUUGGAAACAUUAAAAUUGGAUUGAACUGUUGUUGGAUAUUUACACAGUUGUGCCAUAUCAGCAUUUAGUGUUGAAUGCGAUUCUGUAGCUGGAUUAGCUGGGAUAUAAUCCAUAUUUUGUCCUGCAUCUGUAUUCAAGUUAGGAAGAACCCCAGCCAAGUUUGAGAGCACCUGUUUACUAUUAACAUUCAAAACAGAAGAUGGUUUACACAGUUGUUCAGAAUCAGCAUUCGACAUUGAAUGUACUUCUUCAGCUGGAACUCCUAUAUCAGCAGUCACAAUAGGCAGAAUCCUUUCACUGCUUCUUGCUACAAGAUUAGCAUUUAGGUACUCUCUGGCAGCACCUCUCAGUUGAAACUCCUGCACCAGCAGUCACAAUAGGCAGCAACCUUUCACUACUUCUUGCUAAAAGAUUAGCAUUUAGGUAAUCUAUGGCAUCACCUCUUAGUUUUAUCAAAUUGCCCCGGCCUUCAGAAUCUCGAUCAAGUAAUGCUUGUUCAUUCAGUUCAUUUGUACUCCAACGACACGAUUUUACAUCAUGACCUUGAUGAUUACAAUACGUGCAGUAUUUAGGAAGGUUAUCAUAGACGAUCCGCUGGUCGUAUUCAACUAUUUUCCCAGAUUUGAUAUCAACUAUCUUGAUCUUUACUUUCUUUGGAUGUUUGUCGAGCAAAUUAAUCAAGACUUUUACUCGUGCCGUACUAGGUUUCAUUCGAUCUUUAGUAGCCUUAUCCACUGCUAGAGGCUUUCCCAUCGUGCGUACUAGGUCUCGUUCGAUCUUUAGUAGCCUUAUCCACUGCAAGAGGCUUUCCCACUGCAGUAGCAAUUGACAUUAAGGAUUUUUUUGCGAAGAAGUUUGCUGGCAGUUCAGGAAGAGAAAUCCAAACGACAGCUUUUGAUGUUUCUUCACGAGGAUUAAAUCCCAUUGUCCAUGGGAAUGUCCUGAAGAAAUAGUCGUCUCCUUUCGCCUUAACAUAGCCGGUUGUUCUUGAAACGACAUUCGCAAAAUCUUCAAAUAGAUCAAAUCUUACCAGAAUAUGUCGAUAUUCUAGCUGCCCUAUAUUACAAUUACCUUUGACAUCGAGUUGCUUUGGUAAGAUCUGUCUCAACUCCUGAAGCUCAGGUUUUCAAUAUGAGAAUUUAAUCACAACUGCUUGAAUGUUCUUGAAAUGACAUUUGCAAAAUCUUCAAAUAGAUCAAAUCUUACCAGAACAUGUCGAUAUUCUAGCUGACCUAUAUUGCAAUUUCCUUUGACUUCGAGUUGCUUCGGUAAAAUCUGUCUCAACUCCUGAAGCUCGGGUUUUCCAUAUGAGAAUUUAAUCACAAUUGCUUGUUGAAGACCUUCCUUCUUUGUGAAAGUAUUCACUUCAUCUACUGUGAAUUCAAAAGUAGGUAUUCCAUUCUCGACAGUAACAUGACAUAAUUCUAGAUUUGCGUUUGCUGCGACAGAAGGUUGUCGAACAAGUUGCGAUGCAUAAGAUUGAUUUGCAUCUUAAGCUAAUUAAAUUUCUGUACGGAUUUGAUUAUCCUCUCCCACAGCACAAAGCUGGGGAGAGGGUGAAGCUUCCAUAGUUGCGACGAGCUAUCCCGCAGCAAAAAGCUGGGGAGAGGGUGAAGCUUCCAUAUUUGCAACGAGCUUCAACCAGGAUCCAUCAUAAACAUCUGUCGGAAAAUCAGUAGCCCGAAUGCUAUAGUAAAUAUGAAAACAAGAUUUAAGAUGUAGGAAGAUUCGCUAAAGAUUUGAGGGAAAAAUCUAUUGGGGAUCGCUCGCAAAGAGAAGGGGAUGUCUUGACACCAAAAUUGUGAUAAUCCACCACCGAAUUCCAACAAUAUAUCAGAUGAAUAGUGACGGAGUACUAUUCACUAAAUAGUGACCGAUAGCAGAGAAUCCAAACAGUAAUUUGGCGCGAUGUUUGAGUGAGUUGCUGGUUUGUGAGUCUCGCAAUUGUUCGCGUGGGUAAAGAUUUUUAUCAAUUGAUAUGGUCUUUUCUUUAAAUUCUUAGAGUCGCUCCAUAGUCAUUCUUUUGGUAUCAUGAGUAUUAUUUGCUAUUGGUUUAAUGUUGAGUAUCGUUCUUUAGUAUUAAAGUUGGAGAUAAUUAGUAUUUUUGGUUGUUAGUUGGUGGUUUAGUCAAGGUGGAGACUUGUGAUGGUUAAUUUACAUGUUGUCAAUUGUUUGGUAUGAUAUUAGGAUGUUUGGUUGUUGAUUUGAGACAUGAAAAAGUUUUGGGAUGGUCCAAAAAUAAGGAAAACUCUGCCCGUUCUGUAAAAUUACCGACGAGGAUUACUAGGGAAAACUUACUCCUAAGCGACGGUCACAAUCCUAAAUUGGGUCGUGACACCAGUAUUCUGAUAUUGUAAUCAAUUAACCUCGAAUAGCUCUUAUGAAAAUGUGACGACCUAAAGGGUCAUCACCGUAAUUCUCUAUUUUCUUGCACUUCUGAGGCCUUGAAAACCUCUCACAAUCGAUUAUUUAAUAACUUUGAAAAAGUCUGGAAGUCACUGCCACAACACAAUCGAUUGUCAUAAGUUCACAAUCGAUUAUUUUGUGACUUUGAAAAAUCUGGACACUGUCUCUAAGUCUGGAAGUCACUGCCACAACACAAUCGAUUGUCAUAAGUUCACAAUCGAUUAUUUUGUGACUUUGAAAAAUCUGAAGGACACUGUCUCUUCAAUGGGUUACCUUGAUUUACGUGUGUAGUCCGGCCGCGAAGCCGGAACAUUUUUAUAUGAAAAUAUUUGAAUUCUGUGUUAAAAAUUAUGAAUUUUGAUACUAAUAUGGCUAUAGUUGACAUUGGUCAACGUUUUGGGUAAACGAACCUGGGUCUGUGAUGUGACGGUCCCGGAGGGUCCGUAAUGAAAUUUGGGACCGGGGCGUAUUCUCGAAAUCGAAAUUCGAGGUCCCAGGCCCGAGUUUGACGUGUUCCAGACUAAAAGUGGAAAAUUUGACAGUUUUGAACAUAGAAAUGAAAAAUCAUGAGUUUUGGAGGAUGAUUCUUUGCUUUUGAUGUUAUUUUGGCUAUUCGAUUGCUCGAGCAAUUUCGUAGUAUAAUAUUGAGUUAGUGUGUGUGUUUAGUUAGGAUCCCGAGGGCUCGGGGGCGAUAUCGAGGUGUUUCGGGGUGUUUUGAAACUUAGGAAAAUACCAGAAUUUUCAAACAGUUGUUGCAAAGCCUUUCCUCUUCGCAAACAUGGCACUCGGCUCGUGUUCGCGUAGCCCAAAAUCCUCUACCCUUCGCGAUCACGUCCAACACCACGCGUUCGCAUAGCUUAGCCUCACCCUUCACCGCGUUUGCGUGUCUAUUUCCGCGUUCACGUAGAGAUACCCCAUGACCCCCUGCUUUCCUUCUUCGCGUUCGCGUAGACUCCAUCGCGAACGCGAUACCUUAUCAAACCCCAUCAUCGCGAACGCGACCCAGGUGUCGCGAUCGCGAAGCACAAAAUGGUUCAGUAAAAUAUUUAAUUCUAGCACUGUUCAUUACGGGAUUUCAUUCAUCUCUCAAACGAACUCUCCUCCUUCACUCUCCAUUGACUAACUUCAAGCUCCUAUUUCACCAUAACUCUUUGGGUAAGUGAUUCCAACUUCUUCCUUCCAUUAUUUCUUCAUCCAAUCAUUAAUUUUGUAGCCCUAAAUCAUGAAAUCAAAGUAGAAUUUAGGGGUUUUGGGUUUAGCAACGGUUUAUGGGAUUUUGGGUAUUUCAACCUCAAUUUGAGGUCGAAUUUAAAUCUAAUUAUAUAUUUGAACUUGUGGGAUUAUGGGGGAUUGGGUUUUGGUUCGAGCCUCGAGUUUUGACCACGUGGGCCCAGUGUCUGAUUUUAGUAUUUUUGAAAGUAAGCUAGGAAAUGCAUUUCUAUGCCAUGUGAUUUUGUUUUUGGAUUCUUAUUGAUAAUAUUGAAUCAAUUUAUGUUAGAUAUCGUUGGUUCGGGGUCNNNNNNNNNNNNNNNNNNNNNNNNNNNNNNNNNNNNNNNNNNNNNNNNNNNNNNNNNNNNNNNNNNNNNNNNNNNNNNGGAAAGGCGAUUGUUGAGCUUUGAGUUGCUAUUUUCGGAUUCGAGGUAAGUGUUCGAUCUAACUUUGGCUUGAGGGAAUAGGAUUAUGUUGUUAUUUGUUAUGUGCUAUGUGGGGUCGGUGCAUAGGUAUGAUGACGGUUACCUAUGCGCCCCAGUCAAGCAGGACUGUGAUGUCAUAUUUGCUAUUAAAUUGUGAAGUAAGUGAAAAAUUGUGAUAAUUACUUGUUACAAGAACUAUGAAGUGAAAGUUGAGGAUAUAAUGAACUAAAGAGGACAAUUUGUUGACUUGUAUUCCCUUGUCGGGACCUAUUGUUUUGUUGUAUUUCCCUUGCCGGGACCAUUUGUUGAAUUAUUCUCCCUUGCCGGGAUAUUUUUCCUUGAUAUAUAUAUUUCUUUGUUUCCAUUUGACUGUGACCAUUGAUUGGGAAAGGAAUUGAGAGUAAAAGCAUGAAGGGUGAUGACGUGCACUGUUUAUUAAGAGUAAAAGCACGAAGGGUGAUGUCGUGCACAGUUAAUCGAUAGUAAAAGCAUAAAGGGUGAUGUCCUGCCUUGCAUUUUAUAUUCUUGGUGAGAAAUGAGAGAAAAAUCACGAAGGAUGAUGCUGGGCAUUAUAUUUGGCUACUUUGGUAAAGAAUGAGAGUAAAAGCACGAAGGCUGAUGUCGUGCAGUUGUUGAUCCAUUGGCUUUCUUAUUUAGUUAUUAUUUAUUCAGUUUCAUCUCUUGAUUGUAGAAGUUAUAGUUGAACUGCUACUCCUCCAGCAUGUCCUAUUCCCCUUUUAUUUUCUUAAUCCUUGCUCUCUUUCUGUUAUUGCAUAUAUCUGUACAGGUUGGUUGUGGUAGGUCCGGUUUAGCCUUGUCACUACCUCGCCGGGGUUAGACCGGGCACUUACCAGCACAUGGGGUCGGUUGUGCUGACACUACGCUUCUGUGCCUUUUGUGCACAUGUCAGGAUACAGCCUGCGGACCGCAGCUAUAGUUCAUGAGUGAUCCUUCAAUCCAGAGACUCUAAGGUAGUUCGCUGGCGUUUGCGGGCCCCGAGUCUCCCUUAUCUUAUCUUUUCAGUUUGUUUUAUUUGUAUCAAACAGACAUAUGAUGUAUUUCUUUCAGACUACUUUUUUUAGUACUUUUUAGUUCUCCGUAAGUAGUGACACCAGAUACUGGGUAGAGACAUGUUGUUAGUUUUCCGCAUCUUGUUUUCGUUAUUGUUAUUAAAAGACUUCCGCAUAUUUUUAUUUAAUUGUUUUUAGUAUUUAACUCGUUUAGAUUUAUUAUAUGUGAAAUAGAUCAUAAAGGUUGGCUUGCCUAGCUUCGACAGUAGGCGCCAUCACGACUCCCGAUGGUGGAUAAAUCCGGGUUAUAACUAGUUGAUAUCAGAGCACUAGGUUACUUGGGUCUCACAACUCACGGACAAGCUCGGUAGAGUCUGAGGGGUUGGUAUGGAGACGUCUGUAUUUAUCCCCCAAAGGCUACAGAGCAAGGAAAAGUUUCACUUUGUUCACUCUUGUCGUGCGAUUCUGUUUCUCAAAUAUUGAUUGUUGUUCUACUCUGUUCUUUCGCAGAUGGCGAGAACACGUGCACCUUCUUCUUCCGCGUAGCAGCCCGAGCCCCCAGCAGCACUCCCGUAGAGGCAGGGGCCGAGGUGGGGCCUGAGGCCGUGGUAGGCGCAGAGCUCAGUCCCAGGCACCAGUUCCAGAAGUGGAGCCGCAUAUUCACUUUGAUGAGGAGGUUCUAGCUCCACCCGCUCCAGUGGGCCCAGCUCAGGUCCCAGGAGGAGUGAUGUUUUCUUCAGAUCUUUAGGGUGCUAUUGUCUGCAUAGAAGGCUUUAUGGACAGUGUUGCUAGAGCGGGAUUGCUGCCAGUAUCACCAGCCACUUCUCGGGCUGGAGGAGGGGUUCAGACUCCUGUUACACGUACUCCGGAGCAGGUGGCUUCCAGACUCAGGUUCCACUGGUUCAGCCAGCAGUGGAAGCUUAGACAGGCAUUACAGCUCAAGCCGGAGAUUGGACAGCCAUGUCUUCGGAUGCUUUGUGGAGGCUUUAUCACUUCUCCAAGAUUUUCACAACUACCUUCUGCGGUGCUUCAUCAGAGGAUCCCCAGGAUUUUCUACAAUUGUCAUGAGAUCCUCAGGACUAUGGGGAUAGUAGAGACUAAUGGGGUUGAUCUUUGCAGUUUCAGGCUUGUGGGUUCCGCCAAGACUUGGUUGAGGGAUUUCUGCUUAUCUAGGCCAGAAGGGUCACCACCUUUGACAUGGGAUCAGUUUGCAGAGAUAUUUUUGGAGAAGUUUCUCCCCAUCACUCAGCGGGAGGCACUUCGCAGAUAGUUUGAGCAUCUUCAGCAGGGCUCCAUGACGGUUACACAGUAUGAGACUAGAUUUGUUGACUUGGCAAGUCAUGCAGUAGUGAUACUCCCUAUAAAUCGGGAGAGAGUCCGGAGGUUUAUUAAUGGAUUGAUUAUGCUCAUUCGCCUACAGAUGGUUCGGACAAGAGGCCUCGACAUUCUGGAAGAUUUAGUGGUACCUCAUCUAGAGGUAGGGAUUUCUAUGACAGAGGCCAUCCUCCGAGACCGUUCUAGUCGGCUCUUCAGGUUUCUCAUGGUACGACAGGCGAUGGUGGCCACCACCAGUAUUAUUCAGACCAAUAGUCUUUUAGGGUACCUCCAGCCCCCAUCAGUGCAUUGCCACUUCAGAGCUUCAGGGGAGGACAUACCGGUCGGCAAGGCCAGCAGUCUCAUCCAUCGAGGGCAUGUUAUUGUUGUGGUGACACAGGUCAUAUUGUCAGAUUUUGCCCUCGAGCCUCGAGUAGUUCUCAGCGGCAGGGUCCUCGCCCUAAGAUUCAGGCAGCAUGUGAUCCACAGGUUGCCCAUCCAGUUAGAGGCGGGGGUAGGUAUCAUAGAGGUGGAGGGAGAGACCGUAGAGGUGGAGCCCAGAUACUUUUUAGUUGGCAGCAGGUGAUCCACAGUCCACCCGGCCAGCUAGAGGCGGGGGUAGGUAUCAUAGAGGUGGAGGGAGAGACCGUAGAGGUGGAGCCCAGAAAGCCAUAGGUAGGGGUCAACCCGCAGCAGAUCGUCCUAGGGAUGCAGUUUAGGGAGCUGGGGGGCAGCUUCGUUGUUAUGCAUUGCCAGCCAGGAUGAAGGCCGAGUAGUCUGAUGCAGUGAUUACAGGUACUAUACUGGUCUGUGAUAGGGGUGCUUCGAUAUUAUUUGAUCCGGGAUCUACUUAUUCUUAUGUUUCAUCCUAUUUUGCACCCUAUUUGAGGCUAUGGGUAUUCCUACAUAUGUAUCCACACUGGUGGGUGUUUCUAUAGUGGUCGACCGAGUGCAUCACUCUUGUGUAGUGGUAUUUGAGGGUCUUGAGACCCAUGUCAAUCUAUUGCUUCUAGAUAGGGUGGACUUCUAUGUUAUGUUAGGGAUGGACUGGUUGUCCCCGUAUCAUGCUAUCUUGGAUUAUCACACCAAGACCGUGGCUUUGGCCUUGCGUGACUUGCCCCAACUUGAGUGGAGAGGUCCCCAGGUCAUGCCACCGGUAGUGUUAUUUCGUAUGUCAAGGUUCGACAUAUGGUCGAGAAGGAGUUUUUAGCAUAUUUGGCGUAUGUUCGCGACUCCAGCGUAGAGGUUCCAUCUAUUGACUCUGUUCCUAUUGUUCGAGAGUUCCCUGAGGUUUUUCCUUCAUACCUGCCGGGUAUGCCUCCCGACAGAGAUAUUGAAUUCUGUAUUAAUUUGGCUCCUAGUACUCAGCCUAUUUCUAUUCCGCCAUACCGUAUGGCCCCGCCAGAGUUGAAUGAGUCGAAGGAACAACUUCAGGACUUGCUUGAUAAGGGUUUCAUUAGACCCAGUGUAUCACCUUAGGGUGCGCCAGUGUUGUUUAUCAAGAAAAAGGAUGGUUCGAUGAGUAUGUGCAUUGAUUAGCGGCAGUUGAACAAGGUGACGAUAAAGAACAAGUAUCCACUGCCAAGGAUUGACAAUUUUUUUUACCAGCUCCAGGGUACCAGGGUGUUUUCGAAGAUAGAUUUAAGUUCUGGUUAUCAUUAGCUGAGGAUUAGGGCGUCUGAUGUCCCUAAGACAGCAUUUCGUACUCGGUAUGGGCAUUAUGAGUUUCUGGUCAUGUCGUCUGGGUUGACCAAUGCCCCACCAGCAUUCACGGAGUUAAUGAACCGAGUGUUCAAGCCUUUCUUGGAUCUAUUUUUGAUUGUAUUCAUUGAUGAUAUCUUGGUAUACUCUCGAAGCCAGGAGGAGCAUGAGUGGCACCUCAUUGUGGUUCUUUAGACUCUGAAGGAUAGCCAGUUGUACACCAAAUUCUCAAAGUGCAAAUUUUGGUUGAGUUCUGUAGAAUUCCUGGGUCAUUUUGUAUCAGCAGAGGGUAUUCAGGUGGACUCGAAGAAGAUAGAGGCAGCCAAGAACUAGCCUCGACCAGCUUCAGCUAUAGAGAUUUGGAGAUUAUUGGGUUAGCUGGUUAGUACAGACGUUUUGUGGAGGGGUUUUCAUCCAUCGCAGCCCCGAUGACUAGAUUGACUCAGAAGGGUGCCCAGUUUAUGUGGUUAGAUGAGUGCGAGGUGAGCUUUCAGAAGCUCAAGACAGCUCUGACCACGGCGCCGGUAUUGAUCUUGCCUGCGGGAUCUGGGCCUUAUACUGUAUAUUGUGAUGCUUCCCGCAUCAUACCUGGCGCACUGUUGAUGCAGAACGGAAAGUUUAUAGCAUAUGUUUCGAGGUAGUUAAAUAUCCACGAGAAAAAUUAUCCAGUUCAUGACUUAGAGCUGUAUGGUGUGACGUGUAAGGUGUACACGGAUCCCAAGAGCCUUCAGUACUUGUUUAAGCAGAAAGAGUUGAAUUUGAGACAGUGGCGGUGGUUGGAGUUAUUAAAAGAUUAUGAUGUUUCUAUUAUAUACCACCCAGGGAAGGCCAAUGUGGUGGCCGAUGCCUUGAGUAGAAAGUGCGCCAGCAUGGGUAGUCUUGCAUAUAUUCUGGUAAGCCAGAGACUGCUCGCCUUGGAUGUUCAGGCCUUGGCCAAUAGAUUUGCGAGAUUGGAUAUUUCUGAGCCCAGCAGGGUGUUAGCUUGAAUGGUGGAUCGCUCGUCAUUGAUGGAGCGUAUCCGGGAGCAGCAGUUUGAUGAUCCCCAUUUGUGUAUCCUGAGAGACACGGUGCAGAGGGGAGAUGCCAAGGAGAUGACUUUGGGAGAUGAUGGCAUAUUGAGGUUGCAGGGGCGAGUUUGUGUGCCNNNNNNNNNNNNNNNNNNNNNNNNNNNNNNNNNNNNNNNNNNNNNNNNNNNNNNNNNNNNNNNNNNNNNNNNNNNNNNNNNNNNNNNNNNNNNNNNNNNNNNNNNNNNNNNNNNNNNNNNNNNNNNNNNNNNAAAGAUGGUAUUCGAGAGUCGAUCUUAGCGGAGGCCCAAAGUUCUCGGUAUUUUAUUCACCCGAGCGCCACGAAGAUGUAUUAGGAUUUGAGACAGCAUUAUCAGUGGCGUAGAAUGAAGAAAGACAUUGUUGCAUAUGUGGCUCGUUGUCUAAAUUGUCAGCAGGUUAAGUUCGAGCAUUAGAGGCCUGGUGGGUUAUUUCAAAGGAUUGAGCUUCCCGAGUGGAAGUGGGAGAGGAUCACUGUGGAUUUUGUUACUGGACUUCCGAUGACUCGGAAGAAGUUUGAUGUUAUAUGGGUUAUUGUUGAUAGACUAACUAAGUCAACGCAUUUUAUUCUAGUUUCCACCACCUAUUCAGCUGAAAGGUAUGGUAAGAUUUAUAUAAGGGAGAUCGUUCGCCUUCAUGGGGUGCCCAUAUCAAUUAUUUCGGAUCGGGGUCCGGAGUUUACCUCGUAUUUCUAGAGAGCGAUGCAGCAUGAGUUGGGUACCUAGGUUUAGUUGAGCACACCAUUUCACCUCCAGACUGAUGGUCAGUCCGAGAGGACCAUUCAGAUUCUUAAGGUUAUGCUCUGAGCCUGUGUUAUUGAUUUUGGAGGCUCGUGGGACCAGUUCUUGCCUUUAGCAGAGUUUUCCUACAACAACAGCUACCAGUCUAGUAUUCAUUUGGCUCCUUAUGAGGCGUUGUAUGGUAGGCGCUGUUGCUCCCCACGUGGAUGGUUUGAGCCAGGAGAGGCUCAGUGUUUAGGUACAGACUUGGUACAUGAGGCCUUGGAUAAGGUCAAGAUCAUUCAGGACAAAGUUCGGUCGGCUCAGUCUAGGUAGAUGAGUCUUGCAGAUCGUAAGGUCAAGGAUGUUGUUUUCAUGGUUGGUGAGCGAGUAUUGCUCCGUGUAUCGCCUAUGAAAGGCCUGAUGAGGUUUGGGAAGAAGGGAAAUCUUAGCCCUAUGUAUAUUGUCCCACUUGAGAUUCUGGACCGUGUGGGGAAUGUGGCUUAUAGACUUGCAUUGCCGCCUAGCUUGUCAGGAGUGUUGUCUAUGAAGGGCGUGAUAAGAUUCGGGAAGAAGGGCAAGAUUAGACCUAGGUUCAUUGGCCCAUUUGAGAUUUUUGUUCGUGUGGGAGAGGUGGCUUAUAAACUUUCCGUGCCGCCUAGCUUGUCAGUUGUGCAUCAAGUUUUUCAAGUAUCCAUGCUUUGGAAGUAUCAUGGUGAUCCCACCCACGUGUUAGAUUUUAGUACUGUCCAAUUGGAGAAGGAUCUGUCAUAUGAGGAGGAGCCGGUGGCUAUUUUAGACCGGCAUGUUAGAUAGUUGAUAUCGCGGAGUUUUCCUUCAGUGCAUGUUCAGUGGAGAGGUCAGCCUCUUGAGGCAUCGACCUGGGAGUCCGAGUCUGAUAUGCAGAGCCGUUAUCCCCACACAUUCCCCGACCCAGGUACUUCCUUAUUUUGUCUGUUCGGGGAUGAACGGUUGUUUUAGAGGUGGAGGAUGUGAUGACCCAAAAGGUCAUUACCGUAAUUCUCCAUUUCCUUGCACUUCUAAGGCCUUGAAAACCUCUUAUUGGGUAGCUUCGAUUUGCAUGCGCACUACAUACGCGAAGCUGGAACAUUUUUAUGUGAAAAUAUUUGAUUCUGUGUUAAAAACUAUGAAUUUUGAUACUAAUAUGGCUAUAGUUGACUUUGGUCAACGUUUUGGGUAACGGACCUGAACCCAUAAUGUGACGGUCCUGGAGGGUCCGUAAUGAAAUUUGGGACCCGGGCUGUAAGGCCCCGUCAAAAUGAGUGCUCAGAUGUUAGCAGAUUAUAGAUUCGAGUAUAACCAUGUGGAUCCGAUCCUUUUUACUAUUUCGAACUUGAAAAUGUGAAAUCGAAAUUUUUCCAGAAAAUUAUCAAAAAUGCGGUCCAGAAUGCAGUCGUAGAUCAGCUAUGCGGAACGCAUUCCUCCGCAUAGUGAAUCAGAGAGCAACCAAAUUUUGAUGAUGAAAAUGCGGUCAAAUCUGCGAUCGCAUAAUCAAUAUGCGGACCGCAGAGUAAUUGCAUAUUCUCCUAGAAGAAAUUCUAAGUUCAGUUCUGCGGUGCAUUCUACGACCGCAGAACUUAAAUGCGGACCACAUGUCCACCGCAUUCCCAACUCGAGAGGUUUGAAGUUUGAGCUAUUUCUGCGAUCGAUUCUGCGGACCGCAUGUAUGUUCUGCCAUCGUAGAGCUGCAUCACAGAUUGAGCUCGCCCAGUUAUUUUCUAAAAAUAUAGGCUCGACCCCUCUUUAAUAAAAAUACCCCAUCACUCAUUUUUAACCCAUUUUCUGAACAACAUAAGAGAGUGGAAGAGAGGUUCCUAGAGAGAGAAAGCAAAUUCUUCAUCAAUUGAUCUUUCAAAACCGUUAGAGCUUAGAAAAAUUCUUGGUGCAUUGUCUUCUCUAUUGAUUUCUCAGGUAAAAAAAACCCUAACCUAUUUCCCCCAAAUUUCAAAAUUAAGCUUGGGAAAGGACCCCGUACACUUGCUUUAAAAUUCCUCAUAAAAUCUUCAUGCGUGUCUUCAAAACUCUAAAAUCUUGUAAAAAGAGAAUUGGGUAGUAACUAUGGGUCUAAAUUUCUAAAACCUAAGUGGUGUUCAUGAACUAAAUUUAUUUCUCGAUUGCUUGGCGAAUUGGACUAGAGGUUUAAAAGGGAAUAAUCAACUCCAGGUAUGUAUGGCUAACUGUGAUCCUUGUGAAAUCGCCCUGUGUUAGUUGUGAAAUUUUUNNNNNNNNNNNNNNNNNNNNNNNNNNNNNNNNNNNAUGCUAGUUGGUUUAAAAGGGAAUAAUCAACUCCAGGUAUGUAUGGCUAACUGUGAUCCUUGUGAAAUCACCCUAUGCUAGUUGUCAAAUUGUUCAUAGUUGAUAUUCAUGUGAGAAUCAUUGUGAAGCUUUGUGUGAUAUGAUUGUGUGGUAACACUUUGUGGUGAAUGUUGUGGAACUUGUAAUUGGAACAACAGUAAUGGAAAUAAUGUGGAUUAGUGGUAAUGGAUGUAAUGUGGAACAAUGGAAAUAGAAAUAUUGUGGAACAACGUGUGUGAUUAGUUGUGAAUAACUUUUGUGAUGGUCUAAAUUGUGUACCAAUUUGAUGAACAUGAGGAUAUUAUUGUUGCUAGUUGUGGAAUUGCAUUACCCUUGUUGUGGAUCUAUGUUAACAAUAAGCCAUAGUUAAUUUCUUGUAUUUGUUGUUGUGCUGGUUGUUGUUGUGACUUGAAAACAGUCAGGCAGGGUCGGGUUGUGCGCCGCAACACGGUGAAAUAAGGUGUGGGUUGGGGUGAUAAGAGUGGCCGAGGUAAUAAGGGUGGACGAGCCAGUAAGGGUGGAAAAUGUGAUCAAAUAUCAUUGUUGAUAUGAAUGUGAAUCAUGAAAUGAUAAAUGUGAAAAUGUGAAAGGAGAUGGCAGGAGAUUUUGUAACCUGUGGGGCACUUAUUUCCCCUUUGUAUGACUACUUGAAUCAUUUGUUGUGAAAUUUUUGGUUGUUGCUUCAUGGUUGUACUUGUACUAUUGUUGUUCAGUUCUAUAUUUGAAUAUGCAAUUUGUCUUAAGUUUACUUGGGACAGAGUUUGUUCAUACAUGCCAGUACAAUUCAAAUGUACUGAUGCCCCUUUUGCGGGGGGCGCUACAUUCGUGUUAUGAUUGUAGGUGGAUCUGUAGCUGGCACUCCAGUCCAUCGUUCGUAGCUCCUCCUCCUCUCUAUUGGUGGUAUUCGUGUUAGUGAGCCCCUUUCCUUCCGGGGCCUUGUAUGGCUCAUGCCACAUAUGUUGUUAUAUUUUGGAGUCUUGUGUCCUUUUGUAAAGGUAUAGUCGGGGUCUUGUCGCCGGCAAGUGUUGUACUAUCUUUCUCUUAGAGUCUCCGUAGACAGUGGUAUGUGGGUUAGAACUUAUGUAUAAAGGUGUAUGUCUUGGGCACUGUAAAACUUGUAUACCAUGUUCCCUUUUAAUGAUAAUUUGUGGUUAUAAAAGAGAAAUCAUAUGUUCUUUCGUUUGCAAAAUUUAGUAUCUUUUGGCUAAUUAUCAUUGAAUAAUGUGUGGUAACGCGUGAGGAAUAGGAAAGGCACCCAGGUCCACUCGACUGGGGAUACCCGGUUGAGUGCCGGUCAUGCCCUCGGAGUUAGGGCGUGACAAAUAUGGUAACCCAGGUUCACUCGACUGUGGAUACCCGGUUGAGUGCUGGCCAUGCCCUCGGAAUUAGGGCAUUACAAACUUGGUAUCAUAGUCUAAGGUUUCAAAGGAGCCCUAGGAUGUCUUGGUGUGUUGUCGGCCACAUCUAUAAGUUGGGGGCUACACGGGCAUUUAGGAAAAAUGAUCCUGUUCUUUGUUAUUCCAAGUUCGUGCGGUGAAGUGCUAAUUUGUGCUCUUUAUCGAAUUUUCAGUGAUGGCAACUAAGAAGAAAGCUAGACUUGGACGAGGGGCCAAUGCCACUUCCAGUGCGACUGUGGAUCAUGUGCUAACUAUCGUGGGUGAGAAUGAUUCCCCGGUUCUGAAUUUGCCUACUCCAUCCGUUCCUGAUCCAAGCAAUCAUGUUCCAGCAACAGCUGAGGGUGCUACUAUCCCUCCUGCCAAUGCUCCUAAUCCUGAUGUUUCUCCAGCUUCCAAUCCCGGGAUUUUUAAUGGAGACCUUAGGGGAGCAAUCCGCAUGUUGACCCAGUCUGUGGCUACCCAAGCCCAGAGAUCUUAUAAUGCCCCUAUGUCCUCCAUUGGACAGGGAGAUUCCUCCAGAUCCAGAGUCCAUAAAUAUUUGCAACUGAAUCCUCCAUAGUUCUCAGGCACAGACACAGAGGCCGAUCCGCAAGAAUUCCUUGAUGAGAUGUACAAGGCCCUUCGAGUGAUGAAGUCUAAAGAGAUAGAAGGGGUAGAAUUGGCUUCAUAUAGGUUGAAGGGGGUUGUGCGUUCGUGGUUCGAGAUGUGGGAGGAUUACCGUGAGGAGGGGAGCCCUCCGGCUAGAUGGGAUGAGUUAGUAGAUGCCUUCAUGGACCACAUUUUGCCUACCGAGACCAUGGCAGCCCGGGCCACUGAGUUUGAGGUUCUUAAGCAUGCUAGCAUGAGUUUUUGGGAGUAUCAUAUGGAGUUCGUGAGAUUUUCCAAGUAUGAUCCUAAGUUGGUGUUGAUUAUGGAGGCCAAAGUUCGGCGAUUUGUUCAGGGUCUCAGCUCAUUGGGUGUAAAUGAGGCAGCUACAACGGCGUUGCAUUCAGACAUGAACUAUGGGAAGAUCGUGGGUUUUCAUCAAGCCACAGAGGCCAGGAAGUUGAAGAUUCGGGCAGACAGGGAGAGUAGCAACAAGGCCCGGUCUAUGGGUCACUCAGGGAGGUCAUCUCCAGGGAGAGGUCAUUAGGACCAUCUCAGUCUUAUGCUCAUUCCUCAGCCAGUGCACCGCUAUCUAUGCACCAUUUCCAAUAGAGUAGCCCUUCGGGGCCAUGUUCAGACAGUAGGAAGGUAUAUGCCCCAAGUGUGGGAGAUUUCAUACAGAGGCCUGUUACUUGGAUUCUCCAGUGUGUUACAAUUAUGGGGUGAGAGGUCACAAACAGCGGGACUCCCGUGCUCCCGGGUAGGGCACGAGUAGGAGACUCGCUCAGCCAUCCAGUGCAGCCAAAGGUGGAGCUCGUUGUAGGGGCGGACCCAGCAGGUUUUAUGCAUUGAAAGGCCGUCAGAGUGCUAAGGCUUCCCUAGAUGUUGUCACAUGUAUCCUAUCUGUUCAGACCUUUGAUUUCUAUGCUCUUAUUGAUCCGGGGUCUUCUUUGUCCUAUGUCACUCCAUUUAUUGCAUCGAGUUUUGGGAUUGAACCCGAGCAUCUUCUUAAAUCCUUCUCUGUAUCGACUCCGGUAUAUGAUUCUAUUACAGUCGAGCGGGUCUAUAGGAAUUGUGUUGUUAUGGUAGUUGGUCGUGUUAGCACGGCUGACCUUAUCGAGCUUGGGAUGGUGGAUUUUUAUAUAAUCAUGGGGAUGGAUUGGCUCUAUUCGUGCUUUGCCAAACUUGAUUGACGGACAAGAGUCAUGAGACUCGAGUUCCAUAAUGAGUCGGUUGUUGAGUGGAAAGGAAAUGGUGUGGUACCGAAGGGUAGGUUUAUUUCCUACCUCAAGGCUUUGAAGAUGAUCAAGAAGAGGUGUAUCUAUCAUUUAGUCCGGGUGGUAGACACUACUCCAAAGGUUCAUGCCCCCGAGUCCGUGCCAGUUGUGAAUGAAUUUCUUGAGAUAUUUCCAGAUGAUCUUCCAGGAAUUCCGCCAGAUAGGUAGAUUGAUUUUAGGAUUGAUGUAUUGCCAGAUACUCAGCAAAUAUCUAUUCCACCAUACAGAAUGCCGCCAGUAGAGUUGCGAGAGUUAAAAGAGAAGUUGAAGGAUUUAUCCGGCCAAGUGUGUCGCCUUGGGGUGCUCCGGUUUUGUCAGAAACAAGAAUGGGUCACUUCGGAUGGGUAUCGAUUAUCGGCAGCUUAAUAAAGUCACCAUAAAAAAAAUAAGUACCCUUUGCCUCGAAUAGAUGAUUUGUUCGAUCAAUUACAAGGUGCAAGGUUCUUCUCCUAAAUUGAUUUGCGGUCCGGAUACCACCAAUUGAAGAUCAGAGAGCUGGAUAUUCCUAAGACCGCUUUCAGGACGCGAUAUGGCCACUUUGAGUUCUUGGUCAUGUCUUUUGGGCUAACCAAUACCCCGAAAUAUUUUAUGGACCUUACGAAUCGGGUAUUCAAGUCAUUCUUGGACUUCUCCGUGAUUGUUUUCACUGACGACAUUCUCGUAUAUUCGCAGAAUAGGGAGGAUCAUGCCAGUCACCUCAGAGAGGUUUUUUGCAGAAUCUACAUCAGCACCAAUUGUAUGCCACGUUUUCCAAAUAUGAAUUUUGGUUGGAGUCUGUCGCUUUUUUUGUCAUGUUGUUUCCACUGAGGGGAUUCAGGUGAACCCCAAAAGAUUUCAGCGGUGAAGGAUUGACCUAGGCCCACGACCCCGACGGAGAUCCGUAGCUUUUUGGGGUUAGGAGGGUAUUAUUUGAUGUUUGUAGAGGGAUUCUCCACCCUCGCUUCUCCUUUGACUAAUUUGAUGCAGAAAUAAGCUAAAUUCCAGUGGUCAGAUGCUUGUGAGAAAAGUUUUCAGGAAUUGAAGUCAAGGUUGACUUCGGCACCAGUAUGGGCCUUGCCAGAAGGCACAGAGGGGUUUUUUUGUUUAUUGUGAUGCCUCCAGGGUUGGUCUCGGGUGUGUUCUGAUACAGCACGGGAAGGUUAUAACAUAUUCUUCAAAGUAACUCAAUAAUCACGAGAAGAAUUAUCCGAUGCAUGAUUUGGAACUUGUAGCAGUUGUGUUCGCCUUGAAAAUAUGGAGGCAUUAUCUUUAUGGGGUUCAUGUAGAUGUGUUUUCAGAUCACAAGAGUUUUCAGUAUUUAUUCAAGCAGAAGGAGCUAAAUUUGAGGCAGCGGCGAUGGUUAUAAUUUAUUAAAUAUUAUGAUAUGGACAUCUUGUACCAUCCAGGGAAGGUGAACGUGGUGGCCGACGCCCUCAGUCUAAAAUCCAUGGGUAGUUUGGCUCGCUUGAGAGUGGAUCAGUGGUUCCUACCUCGGGAGGUACAUCAGUUGGCUAGCCUUGGGGUUUGUAUCUCUGCCCCGAAUGAGGAGGAACUUAUAGUGCAUAAUACAGUAGAAUCGUUGCUCGUGGCAGAGGUUAAAUAAAAGCAGUUUGUUGAUCCAGCAUUGGCACAAUUGAAGGAGGCAGCUCUAAGUAACAAAAUUUCAGCAUUUUCACUCGGCAGCAAUGAUGGUGUGCCACGGUGCCACGACAGGUUAUGUGUCCCAGAUGUGGAUAAUCUUCAGGAGAGGGUAAUGUCAGAGGCUCAUCAUUCCAGGUAUUCAGUGCACCAGUCUCUACAAAGAUGUAUCACGAUCUCAAGGAUAUCUAUUGGUGGAGUGAUAUGAAGAAAAGUGUACAGACUUCAUCUCUAAGUGCCCAAAUUUCCAGCAAGUGAAGGCCGAGCAUCAGCAGCCGGGAGGGUUAACUCAACUUAUAGAAAUAAUAAUAUGGAAAUGGAAAAUGAUCAAUAUGGACUUCGUGAAAGGAAUACCUCAUACUCAACACAAGUUCGACUCAAUUUGGGUAAUUGUAGAUAUGCUCACCAAAUCAGCUCACUUUUUUCCGGUCAAGUCCACCGAUACUGGAGAAGAAUAUGCUGGGUUGUAUAUCAAGGAGAUAGUAAGGCUUCAUGGUACACCACUUUCUAUCAUUUCGGAUUGAGGAGCUUAGUUUACAGCUAACCUCUGGAGGAACUUUCAGCAGGGUUUGGGUACUCAAAUGAAUCUCAGCACAGCUUUUCAUCGCAGACCGAUGGCCAAACGCUCGAGGAUAUGUUGCAGGCAUAUGUCUUGGAUUUCAAAGGAAUUGGGAUGAUCACCUGCCCCUUAUAGAGUUUGCUUAUAAUAACAGCUUCCAUGCUAGCAUCCAAAUGGCCCCAUUCGAAACAUUGUACGGAAGAAGGUGUAGGUCCCCGAUCGGAUGGUUCGAGGUUGGUGAAGCGGAAUUAAUAGGGUAAGAUCUUGUGCACCAGGCCAUGGAAAAGUAAAGUCAUUCAGGAGAGAAUGAAGACUGCUCAAAGUCGCAAGAAAUCCUACGCGGACGUGCGUCGAACAGAAUUGAAGUUUCAAGAAGGAGAUUGGGUAUUUUUGAGGGUGUCUCCUAUGAAAGGAGUCAUCUGCUUUGGGAAGAAGGGAAAACUAAGUCCUACGUAUGUAAGGCCUAAUCAAAUCACUCAAAGGAUCGGUCAAGUUGCGUAUAGGUUUGAAUUGACCCCUAAAAUGUCUCUAGUGCACCCUGUGUUUCAUGUAUCCAUGUUUAGGAAAGUUGUGGGUGAUCCAUCUAAAAUUGUGCCCGUAGAAAACAUCAAGGUUACAGAAGAGUUAUCAUAUGAGGAGAUUCCGGUUGCUAUUCUGGAUAGGCAUGUCCGAAAGGUUCGAAACAAGGAGAUUGCUACAGUUAAAGUCUUGUGGUGAAACCAAUGAGUCGAGGAAUCCAUGUGGGAAGCAGAAGAUGCGAUGAAGAUAAAAUACCCACAUCUAUUCGAAUAAGUUAGAAACGAUCGUGCGAAUCUUGUCCCUAGGAGAGCUAAUGUUGUGUUCUGUUAGGUGUAAGACUCAUCCUUUCUCUUUCCAAGUGCCUUAUUGUUGUAGUUUCUCCAAGUUGNNNNNNNNNNNNNNNNNNNNNNNNNNNNNNNNNNNNNNNNNNNNNNNNNNNNNNNNNNNNNNNNNNNNNNNNNNNNNNNNNNNNNNNNNNNNNNNNNNNNNNNNNNNNNNNNNNNNNNNNNNNNNNNNNNNNNNNNNNNNNNNNNNNNNNUGUAAGGUGAUGCAUGGAGGUAAUAAUUAAUUUUGCAUGGAGACUGUGUAUCAAGAUGUUCUUGUUGUGUAAUGAUUAGUUUUUGCAUGAAGGAAUUGUAUUGAAAUGAAUAACUGUGUUGUACCCNNNNNNNNNNNNNNNNNNNNNNNNNNNNNNNNNNNNNNNNNNNNNNNNNNNNNNNNNNNNNNNNNNNNNNNNNNNNNNNNNNNNNNNNNNNNNNNNNNNNNNNNNNNNNNNNNNNNNNNNNNNNNNNNNNNNNNNNNNNUGAUUAUAUGUUGUGUGCCAAAUGGUUAAAAGUGUAUCAAGGGGUUAAAUAUGUGCAAGUGUGAGGAUUAUGCGUUUUACAACUGUUGUGAAGGUAGCAAGUUGUGUAGUAAUUCUUGGGAAUAUGAUUUGGAGGUUCUUUGGCAGGUGGUAAUGUCCAUAUUACAAAGGAAACUCUAGAAAAAAUUUUCUAAAACAAACUUGAAAGUUAAUAAAAGUGUAGAAACUUGCAUAUCAUGUUUUCAAACUCAUUUGGUUCCCAAGUCCUCAUUCGGAUGUGGUUAUGUCCAUAUUAAAAAGGAAACUUUGGCGAAAUUUUUCAAAAACAAACUUGAAAGUUAAUAAAAGCGUAGGAACUUGGAUAUCAUGUUUUCAAACUCAUUUGGUUCCAAAGUCCUCAUUCGAGGACGAAUGAUCUUAAGUAGGGUGGGGGGAUGUAAGGCCCCGUGAAAAUGAGUGCUCUGAUGUUAGCAGCUCAUAGAGUAGAGUCUAUCCAUGUGGAUCGGAUCCUUUUUACUGUUUUGAACUUGAAAAAGAGAUAUCGAAAUUUUUCCAGAAAAUGAUCAAAAUGCGAUCAAAUCUGCGAUCUUAAGCAGACCGCAUUCCUACCACAGAGUGAAUCCGAGAGCAACCAAAUAUUUAUGUUGAAAAUGCGGUCAAAUAUGCGAUCGCAUAAUCAAUAUGCGGACCGCAUCACAUAUUGUCCCUGAGGUAAUUCGAAGGUUAGUUUUGCGGUGCAUUCUGCUACCGCAGAACUCAAAUGCGGACCGCAUGUCCACCUCAUUCCAACCUUGAGAGGUUUGAAGUUUGAGCCAUUUCUGCAGUCCAUUAUGCGGACUGCAUGUCUGUUCUAUGAUCGUAAAGUUGCAUCGCAGAUUGAGCUCGCCCAGUUAUUUUUUAAAAAUAUAAGCCCAACCCCUCUUUAACAAAAACACCCCAUCCCUCAUUUUUAACCCAUUUUCUGAACAAAAUAAGAGAGAGGAAGAGAGGGUCCUAUAGAGAGAAAGUACAUUCUUCUUCAAUUGAUCUUUCAAAACCAUUGGAGCUUGGAAAAAUUCUUGGUGCAUUGUCUUCUCUAUUGAUUUCUCAGGUAAAGAAAACACUAACCUAUUUCCCCCAAAUUUUGAAACUAAGCUUGGGAAAGGAACCCCGUACACUUUCUUUGAAAUUUCUUGAUAAAAUCUUCAUGUGUGUCUUCAAGACUCUAAAAUCUUGUAAAAAAGGGAAUUGGGUAGUAACUAUGGGUCUAAAUUUCUAAAACCUAAGUGUUGUUCAUGAACUAAAUUGAUUUCUCGAUUGCUUGGCGAAUUGGAUUAGAGGUUUACAAGAGAAUAAUCAACUCCAGGUAUGUAUGGCUAGUUGUGAUCCUUGUGAAAUCUCCCUAUGCUAGUUGUGAAAUUGUUGAUAGUUGAUAUUCAUGUGANNNNNNNNNNNNNNNNNNNNNNNNNNNNNNNNNNNNNNNNNNNNNNNNNNNNNNNNNNNNNNNNNNNNNNNNNNNNNNNNNNNNNNNNCACACUUUGUGGUGAAUGUUGUGGAACUUGUAAUUGGAACAACGGAAAUGGAAAUAAUGUGAAACAAUGGAAAUGGAAGUAAUGUGGAACAAUGGAAACGGAAAUAUUGUGGAACAACGUGUGUGAUUAGUUGUGAAUAACUGUUGUGAUGAUCUAAAUUGUGUAACAAUUUGAUGAACUUGAGGAAAUUGUUGUUGCUAGUUCAGCAAUUGCAUUACCCUUGAUGUGGAUCUAUGUUAACAAUGUGUCAUAGUUGAUUUCUUGUAUUUGUUGUUGUGCUGGUUGUUGUUGUGAAUAUAAAACUAUCAGUCGGGGUCGGGUUGCGUUCUGAAACACUGUGAAAUAAGGUGUGGGUUGGGGUGAUAAGGGUGGCCGAGGUAAUAAGGGUGGACGAGGCAAUAAGGGUGGAAAGUGUGAUCCAAUAUCACUAUUGAUAUGAAUGUAAAUCGUGAAAUGAUAAAUGUGGAAAUGUGAAAGAAGACAGCAGGAGAGUUUGUAACUUGUGGGGCACUAAUUGGCCCUUCAUAUGACUACUUGAAUCAUUUGUUGUGAAAUGAUUGGUUGUUGCUUCAUGGUUGUACAUGUACUAUUGUUGUUCAGUUCUAUACUUGUUAUGCAAUUUGGCUUGAGUUUACUUGGGACAGAGUUUGUUCAUACAUGACAGUACAAUUCAAAUGUAAUAACGUCCCUUUUGCCUGGGGCGCUACAUUCGUGUUGUGAGUGUAGGUGGAUCCGUGGCGGACACUCCAGUCCACCGUUCGUAGUUCCUCCUCCUCUCUAUUGGCGGUAUUCGUGUUAGUGAGUCCCUUUCCUUCCGAGGCCUUGUGUGACUGUGCCAACUAUGUUGUUGUAUUUUAGAGUCUUGUGUCCUUUUGUAAAGGUAUUGUCGAGGCCUUGUCGCCAGAAAGUGUUGUACUAUCUUUCUCUUACAGGCUCCGUAGACAGUAGUAUGUGGGUUAGAACUUAUGUAUAAAGGUUUAUGUUUUGGACGCUGUAAAACCUGUUUGCCAUGUUCCCUAUUAAUCAUAAUGUGUGGUUAUAAAAGAGAAAUCAUAUGUUCUUUCGUUUGCAAAAUUUAGUAUCUUUUGGCUAAUUAUCAUUGAAUAAUGUGGGGUAACGCAUGGGUAAUAGGAAAGGCACCUAGGUCCAAUCGACUGGAGAUACCCGGUUGCGUUCCGGUCAUGCCCUCGGAUUUGGGGCGUGACACGGGCAUAUUCCCGGAAUCGAAAUCCGAGGUCCCAGGUCUGAGUAUGGAUCUUUUCUGUGAAAUCAUUUUUCAAAAAUGCUUAAGGUAAAAUGGAAAUGAAAAUUUAAUCAAAAGUGAUGGCAUCGAGCUCAUAUUUUGGUUUUGACGCCCUGUACAAGUCUUAAAUGGACGUUAAGCGCUAUCUGUAAAGUUUGGUUGAAAACGGACGUCGUUUGACGUGAUUCGGACUAAAAGAGAAAAAUUUGAAAGUUUUGAACUUAGAAAUGAAAAUUCAUGAGUUCUUGGGGUUGAUUCUUUGAUAUUAAUGUUAUUUUGGCGAUUCGACGCCCGAGCAAGUUCGUAAGAUAAUAUUGAGUUAGUGUGUGUGUUUGGUUGGGAGCCCCGAGGGCUCGGGCAGAUUUCAGGGUGUUUCGAGGUGUUUUGAUACUUAAGAAAAUACCAGAAACUUCAGACAGUUGUUGCAGAGCCUUUCCUCUUUGUGAACUCGGCACUCGGCUCGCGUUUGCCCAAAUCCUCUACCCUUUGCGAUCGCGUCCAACGCCAUGCGUUCGCGUAGCGUAGCCUCACUCUUCACCGCGUUCGUGUGUCUGUUUCCGCAUUUGCGUAGAGCUACCCCAUAACUCCCCUUCUUUCCUUCUUCGCGUUCGCAUAGACUCCAUCACGAACGCAAUGCCUUUUUGAGACCCCUUCAUCGCAAACGCGACCCAGGUGUCGCGAUCGUGAAGCACAAAAUGCUUCAGUGAAAUAUUUAAUUCCAGCACUGUUCAUUACGGGAUUUCAUUCAAAUUCUCACACGAGCUCUCCUCAUACACUCUCCAUUGACGAACUUCAAGCCCCUACUUCACCAUAACUCUUUGGGUAAGUGAUUCCAACUUCGUUCUUCCAUUAUUUCUUCAUCCUCUCUCACGAACUCUCCUCCUUCACUCUCCAUUGACAAACUUCAAGCUCCUAUUUCACCAUAACUCUUUGGUUAAGUGAUUCCAACUUCGUCCUUCCAUUAUUUCUCCAAUCAUCAAAUUUCUAGCCCUAAAUCAUGAAAUCAAAGUAGAAUUUGGGGGUUUUGAGUUUAGCUAGGGUUCAUGGGAUUUUGGGUAUUUCAACCUCAAUCUGAGAUCGAAUUUAAAAUCUAAUUAUAUAUUUGAACUCGUGGGAUAAUGGGGGAUUGGAUUUUCAUCCGAGCCUCGAGUUUGGACCACGUGGGCCCGGUGUCGGAUUUUAGUAUUUUUGAAAGUAAUCUAGGAAAUGCAUUUCUAGGCUAUGGGAUUUUGUUUUUGAAUUCUUAUUGAUAAUAUUGAAUCAAUUUAUGUUAGAUAUCGUUGGUUCGGGGUCAAAUUCUAGAGGANNNNNNNNNNNNNNNNNNNNNNNNNNNNNNNNNNNNNNNNNNNNNNNNNNNNNNNNNNNNNNNNNNNNNNNNNNNNNNNNNNNNNNUGUUGAGCUUUGAGUUGCCAUUUUCGGAUUCGAGGUAAGUGUUCGAUCUAACUUUGGCUUGAGGGAAUAUGAUUAGGUUGUUAUUCGUUAUGUGCUAUGUGGGGUCUGUGCAUAGGUAUGGUGAUGGUUACCUAUGCGCCCAAGUCAAGCAUGACCGUGAUGUCAUAUUUGCUAUUAAAUUGUGAAUUAAGUGAACAAUUGUGAUAAUUACUUGUUACAAGAAAUAUGAAGUGAAAGUUGAAAAUUUAAUGAACUCAAGAGGAACUUCGGUACUUUUCCCUUGCCCGGACCAUUCGUUAAUUAUUCUCCCUUGCCGGGAUAUUUUGCCUUGAUAUAUAUAUAUAUAUAUAUAUAUAUUUCUCUGUUCCUGUUUGGCUGUGACCAUUGAUUGGGAGAGGAAUUGAGAGUUAAAGCACGAAAAGUGAUGCCGUGCAUUGUUUAUUGAGAGUAAAAGCACGAAGGGUGAUGCCGUGCACUAUUUUAUGAGAGUAAAAGCACGAAGGGUGAUGCCAUGCCUUGUAUUGAUAUUUUUGGUGAGAAAUGAGAGUAAAAGCACGAAGGGUGAUGCCGUGCACUGUUUUAUGAGAGUAAAAGCACGGAGGAUGAUGCCGUGCAGCUGUUGAUUCAUUGGCUUUCUUGUUUAAUUAUUAUUUAUUCAGUUUCAUCUCUUGAUUGUAGAAGUUAUAAUUGAACUGAAGUAAAAGCACGAAGAGUGAUGCCUUGCACUGUUUAUUGAGAGUAAAAGCACGAAGGGCGAUGCCGUGCACUAUUUAUCGAGAGUAAAAGCACGAAGGGUGAUGUCGUGCCUUGCAUUUGAUAUUCUUGGUGAGAAAUGAGAGUAAAAGCACGACGGGUGAUGUCGUGCAUUAUAUUUUACUACUUUGGUAAGGAAUGAGAGUAAAAGCACGAAGGGUGAUGCCGUGUAGUUGUUGAUCCAUUGGCUUUCUUAUUUAAUUAUUAUUUAUUCAAUUUCAUCUCUUGAUUGUAGAAGUUAUAAUUGAACUGCUACUCCCCAAGAUGUCCCCUUCCCCUUUUAUUUGCUUAAAUCCUUGCUCUCUUUCUGUUAUUGCAUAUAUCUGUACAAUUUGGUUGUGGUAGGUCCGAUUUAGCCUCGUCACUACCUCGCCAAGGUUAGGCCAGGCACUUAUCAGCACAUGGGGUCGGUUGUGCAUAUACUACGCUUCUGUGCCUUUUUUGCACAUGUCAGGAUACAGCCUACGGACUGCAGCUAUAGUUCGGGAGUUAUCCCUCAGUCCGGAGACUCUGAGGUAGUUCGCUGGCGUUUGCAGGCCCCGAGUCUCUCUUAUCUUAUCUUUUCAGUUUGUUUUAUUUGUAUCAAACAGGCAUAUGAUGUAUUUCUUUCAGACUACUAUUUUUAGUACUCUUUAAUUGUCGGUGAGUAGUGACACCAAUACUAGGUAGAGACCUGUUGUUAGUUUUUCGCAUCUUGUUUUCAUUAUUUUAAUUAAAAGACUUCCGCAUGUUUUUAUUUAAUUGUUUAUUUAACUCGUUUAGAUUUAAGUUCUGUGAAAAAGAUCAUAAAGGUUGGCUUGCCUAGCUUCGAUAGUAGGCGCCAUCACAACUCCCGAUGGUGGGUGAAUCCGAGGCAUGACAGAAAAUGUCACGGCUGAUAACAAAACUUUUUCCUACCAGCGAUAACCAACAAUUUAAGUGUAAAUGAUGGAGAUUAAUCCGCAUCUUCUCUGCUACUUCCACCGAACAGAUUCGCGCAACUGCCUCCGCAUUCCACUGCUUCCAUCGGUGUCUCAAUUUGAGAUUUUACAGACACUUUUGCUUCCACUAUACUCUUAACUAUUUUCAUCAACACUUCACUUUUACCUCCUCAUACUUAUGAAUUUACUUUUGCUUCCUCUUACUUAAGAAUUUUAUGCCAACAUUUGCUUGUUAAGCAUAAGUUCUUUAAUUUUGGGGAGGGAAUUAUUAAGUGGUGAUUAGUUUUCUAUAUUUAGGAUGGAAAGUAACUCCUAAUAACAUUUAUGGGUUCAUUUAAUACAAUAAAUAAGAGAUAGAGAAAAAAACGUUUUGAAUCCUGUAACUCCCUUCCUCUUUAAUUGAGUAAUUAUUCAAGGAUUUAUGGUCUUUUUAAAUUAAGAUAAACUAAAAACUUGUGAGAAAAAGGCAAAAAAAAUAAGAGAAAAAAGAUAAGUGAGUUCCUUAGCCAAAUAGAGGUGCCACCUCACUCUUCCAUUUUCCACCAUUAAUUUAAUAUAUAUAUAGAGAGAGAGAGGGGGAGGGAGAUAGAGAGAGAGAUUAGCUUCAUAAUUUUCUUGUUUAUAAUUUCUGACCAGAUACAUAAAGUAAAAAAGUUAUGAAUUUUUUUUUUUUGGUCAAACGAAAAACUUUAUAUAAAUCUCUUGUCAAAAUUACAUCUCAAAUACAAUCAGUCUACUCUCUAACUGUCCCUCCUAUCACUUACUUACAUUUAAUCUAUACAAUUUCUCUAAAGAUGUUUUCUAUCCAUUUCUUUUCACUAUUGGUAUGGCUCAUUCUUAUAGCUUCCAUUUCUCUUAACUUGCAAUCUUGCUUAAUCUGUUUUAUUAGCUGCCAGGUUGAACCACCUUAUGUUCCCAGAAAGCUAUAUUUCUAGAUCCCCAAAUGUAAUACACAAUUACUGAUAGUGCAGCCAUCACUACAGCCCUACAUGUUUUCUCCUUAAUCUUUCUGGUCAGUCUUCUUCCCAGCCCCUGUAUCUCCAGAUUCCCCAUACCUAUAUUUAGCCACCUUUGUAUGUCUUCUGUACAUCUCCUCUUUAGUGGAUAGUCAAAGAAUAAGUAAUUAAUUAUUUCUUCUGCUCUUCCACAUAUCUCUCACAAACUGUCUUAACUGAUGCUCAUUCUAUACACAUACACUUUCCUUCGUCAUGAGUCUAUUAUGUGCCACCACCCAGCAUAUCGUACUGUGCUUAGUCAUGUUCAGCUUAUUCCAUACCCAGCCUCUCUAAGGCUAGUCCUCCUUAGCCCAUUUCUUCCCGUUAUAACCACUCUUGAUAGUAUAUAUUCCAUUAGCUUUUAGCCAGUGAUUUUGUAUAUACCCGCCAGCAAAUUUAUCUCUUAUAGAACAUAUUUUCCUCCAGUACCAACUAAAAUCUGUAGGUACUUUAUAUUGCCACUUAUCCCUUCUUUUUAAGUAUAUGUGAUCACUCAUCUCACCCACAAGUUGUCUAUUUUAGCUGCUAUAUUCCAUACAUAUUUUGCUAUGGAUUCUUUAUUCCAUACUACAAUAUUCUUCACUCCGAGUUCUCCUUGCCUUUUUGUUCUGCAGACCAAGUUCCACGCUACUAGCAGUGGCUUCUUGGAGUAGACUUUUCCAUCCCAUAGAAAGCAUAUACAUACCCCUAUGAUAUUUUUUAUCACUUUCUUGGGAGAAAAAAGAUAGAUGCCCAGUAUAUGUGUAUGUGCAUUAACACAACAUUCACCAAAAGAACUUUCAUUGCAUAUGACAAGUUCCUUGAGCCCUAACUUUUGAUCUUCUCAGUCAUAUUAUCUACAAGGACUUCACAAUCCAUUGUUGUCUGCUUUUUUGGUGAGAUAGGCACUCCAAGGUACCUAAAUGGUAAUGAUCCUCUCUUUUACCCUGUUAGUUCACAUAGAUUCUACAAAUCAUGUUCCUCCAUGUUUGCACUGAAUACAUUAGACUUGGCAGCAUUGGUAGUUAAACCUAAUGCAUUUGAGAAGCUUUGUAAACCUCUUACCGUUAGGACUAUAGCUUGAUAUUCCCCUUUAUAGGACAAUAGAACAUCAUCUGCAAAUCAUAGAUGAUUCAUAUACAACCCUUUACAUGUGGUAUGGAAAGCAAACCCUUCUUGAGUAGCCACCAGUCUCAUAAUACGCAUGAAAUACUCCAUACAAAUCACAAACAGCAAUGGGGAUAUUGGGUCUCCCUAUCUCAAUCCCUUUUUACCAUCCCUUGAUUGCUAGAGUGUAUUGAGUUGUUGUAAUGUACUUCAUUAACCAUCCUAUGAAUUGGUAUGGAAAUUUCACUGCAUAUAGCAUUUCCUCCACAAAUCCCCAUUCAAGUGAAUCAUAGGGUAUCUUGAGGUCAAUUUUGAUGAGACAACUUUUUGCAGUGUGCUUCCUGUUAUAGAGUCUUACUAAAUCUUGACAAAUUAAGAUAUUCUGAACAAUUGAUCUCCCUUCUACAAAAGAACUCUUAUUUUAUCUGAAAUGAUUUUAGGCAGUACCUUCUUUAGUCUUUCGCAUAGCAUUUUUGAAAUCAUCGUGCAUACUGUAUUGCAACAGGCUAUUGGCCUAUAGUCUCCUAGUGAAUCUGCAUGUGUACCCUUAGGAAUGAGUGUUAUAACUAUAUUUUUCAUCACUUUCAACAUCUUCUAUGUCUUGAAGAACUCCAGUACUACUGGUGUAACAUCUCUUCUUGUUAUAUUCCAGCUGUCUUUGAAAAAUUGUCUUCCAUAGCCAUCAGGUCCAGGUCUUUUAUCCCCUGUAAUUGCCCAGAAAGCCUUCUUUACAUCAUUCACUGAGUAAGGUUCCACUAGCAUUUUCCCGUCUUCUUCAUUUACCACAGCUCUCUUCGUCACUAAGUAGCUACAGAAUUAAUCUCUAUCUUCCUUACUAGUGCCUAGUAGGGAUUUAUAGAAUUCAAUGAAUGUUGUAGCUACACUGUCCAUGUCAGUAACAUUAACACCAUCAGCACCCUUUACAGAGAAGAUCCUAUUGUUGUUUCUCCUAGCUUUAAUGUAUUGUGGAAGCAUCUUGUAUUGUAGUCCCCUUGUUCUGCCCAAGUUAUCGUACUCUUCUGCCUUAAGUACUGAUAUCUUGCUUAUUCCCAUCUGUUAUACUCUUUUGCCAGUGUCCUUUCCUUUUUGUGUAACUCAUGAUCCCUAGGAUUUUCCUGGAUCCUAACUUGACAGCCAGUAAGAUCCUUCUUUGCUUGGUCUGUUUUCCUUUCUACUUCACUGAAUCUGUUUUUGCUGAUCUUCUCCAUCUUGUUUAUUAUUCCAGGUGAAAUAGGCACCAGCAGAUUUUCGAUCGUGUAGAUCACAACUCUCUACACAUCUCUUAAAAUCCCUUGUUUCAGCUAUUGUUACAAUGCUUCCUAACCUUUCCUCCUUAUAUAAUACACAGAUGAAAUCCCCCAUUACACUCCAUGGCCCUUGAAUAUGACUAUGGAUUUUGCUUAGCUCCUCUCAUAGAUCUCUUCUAAGGCCAUGAUCAUUAAAAUCAUACACCACUGUUAUGUGCAUCCUCUUAUUACUAUCUCUAUGCUUUACUUGGCAAUGAAUCAGCUGUGGUGUUAUUGUUACUAUAUCAACCUCAUAGAUGUGAGGUUUUCGUAAUAACCAUAUCCUACCCCUAGGAUAUUUGUGUAGAUUUGUACUAAAUGACAACUCAUUACAAAGAUUAAAAGAGGCUUGUUGAGCCUUGCUUCUCUUAUUCCAAUCAAUUCCUUCAGAUUGUGGAAUUGGUGCUACUACUUUGCUCCAUGAUUUGCCACUUUGCUACAGAGUCUCUACAUCUCCUUCCACCAUUGCUUCUUCCUCAACUACAUCAGCCCAUGAACACCUUCCGCUACUUUGCAUGUUACUGUUCUCACUUCUAUUUGGCAUUUUGCUCUUAUUUGGAGUUUGAUCCAUACUCCUUUUUGCUAGAUCUAGUAGAAUGAACCCCUGUAACACAUUAAUGCUCGUUGUUUUCUUUGCAUCUAUGGUUUGGGGUACAGAUUGCCUUCCUCCAUUUGUAGUGUUGUUCUGCCAUUGUUUCUCACCUGCUCCAGCUUUUGAUUUCCUUCUCAUGGUCAGUUCUCGCUAAGGGAAGGUUUUCAUUCUAGAGAGAAAAAAAUGCCGGUAGUGUAAAAUAUUUUUAAAAAGUUACAAAAAAGGAACUUAAUUAAUUUUAUAUAUCUUAUUUUAUAGUUUUUAGAAAUGGCGAUGAAAGAGGUAGCUAACCUGCAAAGUACAAUAAAAAGUAGCAAGUACUACUUAUAAAGUAAUUUGACUGUUAUAGUAAUUUUUUAUUUUAUGAAAUCCAUGAGUAGUUUUGAUCGUCAUUUACAAAUGGACAGUAUGACCAUUUCAGAAAAGGAGAAAGAAACUAUAGAAAUCGAGCUAGUUUAAAUGGAUGAAUUGUUAGUAUAAGAAGAUAUUUAUUCAACCAACUCAACACAAUUAAACGUAACUGUAUAUAAUAAUUAUUGAUCGAUAACAUAGAAAAAGUGGCAAGUAAUCGAUUUAAACCAUAGUAUAGCGUUAAACAUGUUUUACAAAACUAGUGUAUAUAAACUUUAAUGUAAAAGGAAAAAGAAAUAAGAAGGAAGGAGGGAAUAAUAGACGAGAAGGAAAAUGGAGACAAUAGUAGUCUGACGAAGACAAGUCAAACUCCAUGCAUGUUGUAUCUUUGGGCCAUAGCAAUAUACUUUGGUUGCACGACUUUCUCUUAUAGGAUGAGGCGGGAAAAAUAUUUAAUGCAUCCACUUUUAUAAAUAAUAACUAUAUAUAUAUAUAUAUUCGACAGUAAUUUAAUUUUGGCCGACAGACCAAUUAUGUUAUUUGCUAUUUUUAGCGGGCCAUAGCAUGUUGUAUCUGUGGGCCAUAACAUCUUUUUAUCUACUAUGGAUGGGAGUGGCUUUACCCGAAGUAAAAAGCAAUAUAUGGAGUGCGGAGUGCCAAGACACUCCAUUCAAACUGUUUCAAGUGGAUCAAUUGGAAGACUGAGACAGAAUUUGUCACGACCCAACUAAUGGUAUGUACAAAUUCUGUCAUUCUGACGAGGGUUUUUUCUUGACCCCUACUCUAUAUAUGGAUGAUACAAAUAUUACAAUGGAGAGGGACACAAAACCAAAAAUCUCAUAGAACUACUAGCUCCAAAAAAAACAUAAUAUUGGACUAAUCAAAAAAGAAAAUCUGCGAGUUUAAAAGUGGAAAGCUAUUAAAUAAGAUCCUCCCGAAUGGAGUCCUAAGUGUUAGGAUUCAAAAAAAUCAGGUGUCACGCGGAAGGUAGCAAAGCAAAUCUUAAAAGAUGUUAAAUCAUACGUACAACAAAAGAGAAAUAUACUUGUUUGGUUCAAAGUUCUCAUACACUUUAUGAGCAUAAAAUAAUAAAAAUAAAUAAAUGGUCAAUCAUAGCAGACCAUAAUUAACAACCAAAAGACUGAACAGAAGAAUAAGAUACAAGUUUAUAUAUUAAGAUGACAAAGGUGGGAAGCAUUUUAUUGAUUGAUAUUAGUUUGGUCUGCCUAUCCAUGGAAAGGUUCAGAGCCUUACAAUGAUAUUCUCUUCUCUUAGAAGUGGAGGUGAAGAAGAAGAAGCAGCCCUCCUUUAGGGUUCUUUCUCUUAAUAUUUAUAGUUGUGUAACUUGCCAGCUGGCGUUGGAAGGUCGUGGUCAUGUCAAGGGGAUGCCCGCCAAUAGUGAACAGAUGGUCUCGUUGAUUAAGCUCUGUGAUCUUUGAAUGCUUAUCAUUAACGAAUAAUUGUACCAUUUAUUAGCCCGAAUGUGCUUAAAGGCGAAUUACUCUUAUUAAUUAUGAUGAAUCAGGUUUUGACUCAUACAGUUAGUCCCUCCACUUAUUGAGGUCGAGAUUUGAUCGAAUUCGAUGAGCGAAUUUUAUCGAAUGUGACUCAAUAGAUUUGGAAGACGGAAUUGGAUAUCGUUUGGUUAUGACCUAGGUUCAUACUCCGAAGACGGCCAUAGUUGUUGAUACUUAAAGGGUGGCCAUAGCCAUUUGCAUACCUGAAAGAUGGCCGUAACCAUUUUACGUUUUUGGGCAAUGGCCAUAGCCAGGUUAUACAUAAGAGACGACUGUAGCCAUUUAUACUUGAGGGAUGGACGUAGCCAUUUAUAUUUAGGAGACGGCCGUAGCCAGUUAUAUUUAAGAGACGGCCGUAGCCAUUUAUAUUUGAGGGAUGGCCGAAGGCAUGUAUAUUUGAGGGAUGGCCGUAGCCAUUUAUAUUUAGGAGACGGCCGUAGCCAGUUAUAUUUAUGGGACGGCCGUAGCCAUUUAUAUUUGAGAGAUGGUCGUAGCCAUUUAUAUUUGAGGGACGGCCGUUUGAUGUUUUCAUCUGGAGCCAUGUAUUCCCGCAGGCGACCACUGAGGAUAUGGGUGUGCUUUACGUGUAUUGCAAUAGUUCUUGGUGUAUGGAGGCAUACAUGACGUCCUUCCAACAUACCCAGGUCGUUAAACCCACUUCGAAGAUGAAGUGUCGAUUAACGGUUGCGAAAUCGUUUUGUGGAACCUGUCAUAAUGACACCUGUUACUGUGGGUUCGAACUGUUUUGUGGUUGGUUGUGCAGUUAAUAGUAGCUUUUGGUAUUCGGGAAAGCCCCUUUUGUAGUAUAAAUAAUGAGUUAUGUUAUCCGUUUUUUACUUUUCAACAUAUGACUAAGAAGGAUUUCUGAAGCAGCAGCUUUUCUCACUCUUUUUCUUCGUUAAUUUGUGUUUUUCUUUGCCUUGUUUCACUCAAUCUCCAUUUUUACUCCUUCUUUGGUGAAUCACGUUUGCUCAUCGUCUAGUAAUUAGUUAAUGGCAAGUAGUUCCCACACAGAGCUUUCUCCGGCGACUCUUCCGGCGGUCGAUGGGCCUUUUGCAGUGGCGAGGGCCACCGAAUUGGCGGAGAUCGAUGGGGUCCCAUCGGCAGUUGAUAUUCUUUUCUGCCCAAAGGUCCAGCAACUAAGUUUACCGCCGAUGAGGGGGAGGAUCAGGUCAAUGAGGCCCCACUAAUGGGAGAGGUGGGCCUCGCACAGUUAAGGGAGAAAUGGGGUAUUCCUCGUUCUGCCGACAUCUCCCUUGCCAGGAGCGAGGAAAGGGUUCACAUCGACCGCCCCGGAUAUUGCAUUUUCUAAGCUUACCCUUUCAGAUUAGGGUACAAGCUUCCCAUUCCGGUGCUGGUAGUGGAUUUUUGCUAUUAUUAUGAAGUGUGCCCUGGGCAGCUCGUCCCUUCCUUCUAUAAGCUAUUUUCCAUGCUCGCCAAGUAUGCAAAAUUGGCUCGAUGGGAAAUAACACUGCGGCACGUGUUGACUUUUUACGCCCCUUAGAGGGUCCGUGUACUAUGAUUCGAAUGGUCCCCCGUGGGGUCGGGGGUUUGACUACAGAGCAGGACGACCCAAUCGACUCUCAUUCUUAUAAGAACUUUUUCUACAUCAAGACUGAGCAUUUGGUGGGGAUCACUAGGGAGUUCCCUGACACUUGGAACCAUAUACGUCAGUUUUCUAUUUGUCAGGUUCUGUCUUCCAUUCUUUCUUGUUCUUUGUUCUAAUAAGUGUUGACUUUAUCUUUUGUUUGUUGCAUAGAGGGAACCACGACUCCUUUGUGUGGCAUUAGUGAUAGGUCGAGGCCGUACUCCCUCAGACAGUGGGGAUUCGCACAAGGCCGUCCUUCUGGGAAAGGCACGGCCAUAGGCCUUCUACGGGUGAGUGUUUGAGUUAUUUCAUCGUUCUUGUUCGGUUGUGUUUAGUUUCUUUCCUUUUAAUUCUUUUCCUUUGCUGAUAAGGGGCGGUGAGCUGUGUGAGGGCUCCUCGACUUGCUAUCCACAGGCCGGGCGCGACUGCUCAGCUGGCUAUGGCACCGACACCACGCCUUAUCUAAAGGGCAACUUAAAUUGAGUCAUCGGUGAAGGAGGAGAGACCGUUUGUUAGGCGAAAGGUAGCCUUCAUGCCUACUACGAAGGUGGUACAUUUGGACUCUCCGUCGUCGGGUACGGAGGGGAAUGAGGCGGAUGUGCCUACCCUUGAGAGCGAAAACACAAUAGGGGUUGCCCUAGUCAGUUUAGGCCGUAAUGAAACUGUCGCUUUGGCGGCUCAAUCAUCACGCCCAGCUAUUAAGAGGGAAGUUGGUUCCUCAGCAGCUGCUUUGGUCAGGGAAGCAAGUGCCAACACGUUGGCAGGGGAAGGGGAGCUCGACCUCUCGGCCAGUUGAGGAAGGAAGGGACAUCAUGGGAGGGGGGUUUGACUCCGAAUCCGACUUGGAAUCUGAUGAUGUCUGCAUGCUCCGGGAAGGCUUCACCAACGCGACGGCGCAUGCAGAGGGGCCGUUUUGUUAGGCUGAGAUUCCUACCGAGCAGAACCAGCUGCUUGAGGAGGACAAUUUGGUACCGAUGUUUGCGACCUUGUGCUCGGAGGAGAAGAGUAGGUCGCUGAGGGACGUCUCAAAUGUCAGAUUGAUGACUGAGGUGGCCGUGAUAGGAUUUAGGGUACGUAUGGUGAUCUUAUUUUGUUUCUUUUCUUGCCUUGGUUUGCUUCCUAGCUUAACCACUGGUUUUGUCUUGCAGACCUUUCUUUUGGAGGUAGAGAGCAUGUACCGGGCCAACGUUCGCUCGGGACUCUUCUUGCAGGCGCUAGAAAAGCUUUUCCGCUACCGAUAUAGGUGUCACGUGAUGCGCGAGUGCCUAAGGAAUGACCCCCGUAGUUGGGAGUUGGUUGAGGAGUUGGCGAGGCAGGAGCUUUUAGUGCAGCAGGCUCAAAAUAGGGCAAAUGCUCUCGAGGAGAAACAUCGUCGUAGGGACGGGGAGGUGGAGGCCGAGAGGAGCGCUGCAGCUGAGAAGGAGCACCAGAGUCAGGAGGCAUUGGCAGAGGCCUCUGAGGCCUUGAUUAGGCAGGUGGUCAAGUUGGACGAGGAGCUCACUGUUUCUAGGCAGCAGGCCAGAGAUGCUUCGACGUAGGAUGUGGUGUUGGAGGUGCCGGUCUACAUUCACAAAAGGGAACGAGAGGUGGAGAGAUCUGCUGCGGCUUUCAGAGUGGCGGGGCUAGAGGCCCAAGUUGCAGCAGAUCGGAUCGCUGCCUUGGAGGCCGAGAAUCAGCGUCUGAAGGACCAAGCUGCCUCUUACGGCCGCGCUCGUGAUCUUUGGUCUUUUUUUGAGGUCUAUCUUGAUGUGUACAUGAAACUAUGGGAGGCCGUUGUUGUGCCUGAGGCUGUUUAUGAGGGGGCCCACCAAAAGGCUCGUGAUGCUCGUCUUGGCUGUGGCUUGGACCCGGCCACUACAUGGGCUGAUGAUGGCCCUGAGGACGCUGAUGAUGGCGCAGGUGGCGCUGAAUAAAAGGGAUUUAUAGAGUUAGUUUUUAUUCUGUUUUGUUUUUUUUGGUAGUCGUUUGGCGUUUUUCUUUGUUCGCCGGUUUGGCUGUAUGUAACCGGGGCUGGCCCAUGUAAAUGUAGUUGUAGAUACAUAUAUGCAAUUUUAUGUCCUUUUCUUUCUUUCCAAGUUUCUUUUGCACUCAUUCAAGGGGGUUUCUCCUUUAGAGUUUUCAGGGGGGUGUGUUGAUCUCCUUACGCCUUUAGUCGUGAUAACGUUGGUGGCUUUAACCAUAAUGACGUUGAUGGUCUUGGUCAGUUGGGUGAUUUUGACUGUUGUCAGGUCGUUUGCUCGCUCUAGUCAAAAACUAGGUGGGCUGCUAUCAUCGAUGGUCUUACUGUGAUUGGCCGCUUUUCGCUUAUCAUUUUCCUUUACUCUGUAUGAGUAAGUUGUAGCCGUUAUUUGGUGAGGGUGGUGUAUAGCCUUAGUCCCAGUUCGGACGUGGUCGAAUUGUUGGUCGUGGCCUUGUAAUUCGUCUGGGACCGAACUUAUCGCGGCCUGAAUCUUAGUUUGAGUUAGGAGUACUUACUUGAUUGGAAAGGGCGCUUAACUUGUCCUUUCACUCGUAGAGGAAUAGGCCUUGCAGCGUCCGAUGCUGAGGGCGCUUGGCUUGAGUCUCGGUUUAUUCUACAGUUGAAUUUUUGUGCGAGGUCAUGUGGCCUGAGUUGUUGUUCAACAGUAGUUGAACCUUUGAGAUUUUUGUUGUCGAAGGCACGUAGCCUAACUCCCAAUUCAACUCAUGGUUGAACUUUUAGGGCGAGGGCACGUAGCUUGAGCUGUUGUUCAACCGCGAUUAAACCUUUGCAAUUUUUUGAUGUCGAAGGCACAUAGCCUAAUUCCUGGUUCAACUCAUAGUUUAUCUUCUGGACGAGGGCGCGUAGCCUGAGCUGCUGCUUAGCCGUGUUUAACCUUUGCAAUUUUUGUUGUCGAAGGCACAUAGCCUGAGUCCCAGCUGACUCAUAGUUGAACUUCUGGGCGAGGGCACGUAGCCUCAGCUGUUGUUCAGUCAUAGUUGAACCUUUGCACUUUUUGUUGUCGAAGGCACAUAGCACGAGUCCCAGUUUGACUCAUAGUUGAACUUUUAGGGUGCGCGUUGCCUGAGCUGCUGUUCAACCGUAGUUGAACCUUUGCAAUUUUUUUGUCGACGGCACAUGGCUUGAGUCCUAGUUCAACUCAUAGUUGAAAUUGUAGGGCGAGGGCACGUAGCAUGAGCUGUUGUUCAACUGUGGUUGAACCUUUGCAAUUUUUUGAUUUCAAAGGCACAUAUCCUGAGUCCCAGUUCAACUCAUAGUUUAACUUUUAGGGCGAGGGCACGUAGCCUGAGCUGUUGUUCAAUCGUGGUUGAACCUUUGCAAUUUUUUAAUGUCGAAGGCACAUUUCCUGAGUCCCAGUUCAACUCAUAGUUGAACUUUUAGGGCGAGGGCACAUUGCCUGAGCUGUUGUUCAACCGUGGUUGAACCUUUACAAUUUUUUGAUGUCGAAGGCACAUAGCCUGAGUCCCGGUUCAACUCAUACUUGAACUUCUGACUGAGGGCGUGUAGCCUGAGCUGUUGUUCAACCGUAGUUGAACCGUUGCAAUUUUUGUUGUUGAAGGCACAUGGCCUGAGUCCCAGUUCAACUCAUAGUUAAACUUCUUCCUUUACACCUGACUUAUUUUCUUGGGGNNNNNNNNNNNNNNNNNNNNNNNNNNNNNNNNNNNNNNNNNNNNNNNNNNNNNNNNNNNNNNNNNNNNNNNNNNNNNNNNNNNNNNNNNNNNNNNNNNNNNNNNNNNNNNNNNNNNNNNNNNNNNNNNNNNNNNNNNNNNNNNNNNNNNNNNNNNNNNNNNNNNNNNNNNNNNNNNNNNNNNNNNNNNNNNNNNNNNNNNNNNNNNNNNNNNNNNNNNNNNGUUGUCAUUAGUAUAUUGUGUUGGGGAGGGGGGGUUUAGGUUUUCGUUUGAGAUCUUAUCUGAUUUGUACGUAGUCUUCUUGACUAGUUUAGAGAGGCCAUUCUAUUAUGGAUCUUGGUUGCGUGCCACUUUCCGGCAUGGUCUCGUAUCGAGGAUAUGGGGGUCUCUCGCCCGUGUUCUCCCCGUAGGGAAGGGGUAUCUUCUUUCUCUUAUUCUUCUUUCGUUUUCUCAAGAACGGGGGGAGUCAGGGCUUUGGACUCUUGCUGGGGCUUUCGAGCUCUGUUCGCCCGCUGUGCUACUUUGUCUCAUUCGAGCUGGAUUGCUUCCCUUUUUGAGUGUCUUUUUUCCUUUUUGGUCUGAGGUGGCAAAUUGUUUGGCUCAAAGUUCUUAUACACUUUAUGAGCAUUAAACAAUAAAAAUAAAUGGAGGACCAAUCAUAGCAGAUCCUAAUUAGCAACCAAAAGACCGAACAGAAGAAUAAGAUACAAGUUUACAUAUUAAGAUGACAAAGGUGGGAAGCAUUUUAUUGAUUGAUAUUGGUUUGGUCUGCCUCUACAUGGAGAGGUUCAGAGCUUUACAAAGAUAUUCUCUUCUCUUAGAAGUGGAGGUGAAGAAGAAGAAGAAGCAGCCCCCCCCCCCUGGGUUCUUUCUCUUAAUAUUUAUAGUUGUGUACCUUACCAGCUAGCAUUGACGGCCGUGGUCAUGUCAGGGACACGCCCGCCAAUAGUGAACAGACCGUGGUCUUGUUGAUUAAGCUUAGUGAUCUUUGAGUGCUUACCAUUAACGAAUAAUUGUACCAUUUGUUAGCCUGAAUGUGCUUAAGAGCGAAUCGCUCUCAUUAAUUAUGAUGAAUCGGGUUUUGACCCAUACAGUUAGUCCCUCCACUUAUUGAGGUUGAGAUUCGAUCGAAUUCGAUGAGCGAGUUUUAUCGAAUGUGACUCAAUAGAUUCAGAAGAGGGAAUUGGAUAUCGUUUGGUUGUGACCUAGGAGGGUCGUAGUUGUUCAUGCGCCGAAGGCGGCCAUACCUGUUGAUACUUAAAGGGUGGCCAUAGCCAUUUGCAUACCUGAAGGAUGGCCGUAACCAUUUUACGUUUUUGGGCAAUGGCCAUAGCCGGUUAACCGACCUACGUCUACCAUCAGAGAUGAGGAAUCCACUAUAUAAAAAGAGAGUAUGAAAUAUCAAGAGAACAACCUCACGAAGAGAAAAACACAAAUGAUACACUAAUCACUUGUCCCGUUAAGUUCUCCACUAAAUACGACUCUCAAACCUCAUAUGUCUACAUUGUGGAUGCUACUGAAUAAGAAGAAAGCAUCCCGAAUUUAUAGAAGUCCAAACAAUUUUCUACAAGAAAAAGGGUUAGCAAAAUAUGGAAGACUUAUAUUUUCCUUCUAGGAAACGAAAAACCCUAUUAUGGUAAAUAUGUUGUCCUUUCCUUCAUGAGAUAGGAAAACCAAAUAUGGUAAGAAAAUCAGAACAACACCUAACAAUUCUCUCCUUUGGCCUGAAUUUUCUGACAAAAUAAACCUGAUCAACCUUCUUGACAUAGCCUUCAACAGGUUGUAUCUCCAAAUCUCCACAAUAAAGUUUAUCUCAAUAUGCGUAUAACACCGGUCAAAUUUCUCAGAAAAAAUCACAAUUAUCGUCAAAUAUGUUGCAGCUAGAACUGAAUCAGCUAAGAUGGGAACCCUGUUGUGAUACCACUUGUUAGGAUCGAAAAAUUCAGGUGUCAUGCAGAAACUAACAAAGCAAACCUUGAAAGAGGAUGAAUCAUAUAAGAAAAGAGAAACAUACCAAAAGAGACACACACAUUUAACAUGGAUCGGCCAAUCGACCUACGUCCACAGGCGGAGAUGAGCAAUCUACUAUAUAAAAAGAGAGUUCAAAAUAUUGAGAGAACAACUUCUCAAAGAGGCAAACACAAAUGACAUACUAAGAUUUGUGCGUAAAGUUCUCCCCCUAAACACGACUCUCAAACCUUAUAUUGCUACAUUGUGGAUGCUAUUGAAUGAGAAAGAAGGAAUUUAUAGAAGUCCAAACUUUUUCCUAUAAGGACAAGCCAAAUAUAUAAGACUUAUAUUUCCAUUUAAGGAAAAAACACCUUAUCAUGGUAAUAUAUUGUCCGUUUCUUCAUGAAAUAGGACAAUCUGGUAAGAAAAACGGGACAACAGCUAAUACUAAGUAGUUUACCUCUCUUAAUGGUCCUACCUGGUAUCGGUCAAAAUUGGUCAGAAAAGAUUUGGGGGGGAGGGGGGAGCAAUUGCGCGGCCGUACAAUUUGAGUAGAAAAAACAAAAUUAGGAUAAAACACCGGCCGUUACGAAAAAAUGUGAUCUUGGAUUAAAUGUAAAAUGCUGAAACGCUCAAAAAAGGAUUAACAUAUGUUUGUGAAAAUUACACGAGUUAAUACUGCACUCUUUUUUUUAUAUCAUGGGGUGAGAAAUUAAAAUAAGCUUCUAACAAGUGAGUACUAUAGCAAUUCCAAUGAGAUUCAAAAUUCAAGCCUCCCCUCCAAGUAAAUGCAACAUUGAAUAUGAAUUUACUUGUUAAAAAUGAAAUUGAUUAACUCAUGUUUCCUUAAUUUGAAAAGAUGUUAUCACCAAAAUAAAUUGAAUAAAUUAAACUAAGCCAAAAUCCCAGUCAGUUAUGGCCACGGACUUAUACAAAGGAGCAUGGCCAGCCUGCUUCCGUGUCCACAACAAUAUUUUUAUCAUUUACAAUUUUGCGGACUUAUACAAAGGAGCAUGGCCGGCCUGCUUCCGUGUCCACUACAAUACUUUUAUUAUUUACAAUUUUCUUUCACUGGUUCAAGUCGUGGAAGUAGUCAUUAAAAUUUAUAUUAUGAUAGGUUAUCUACGUUACAGCCCUCAAGUUGCAGCCCUUCUCCGGAUUAUGCGUAAAAAAGAGAUGUGUGACGGCCUUCCCAAUGCCGCGCUUCUGUAAAUUUAUCUUAUCCACCAUUGACAGCGAUCUCUCGAUCUCCCUGACAAGAAAUCUACAUGGAUAACUUCUCGAUGAUGAUUAAGCUCAUAAAAGAAUGCAUUUGGCUUUAGAUGAUUUCUGCAUAAUGGGUAAGUCAUAUUACGUCCACAAUUCAUCCACCUAUCCAAACAAACCCUAUGGAAAAGAUGAUCACAUCUCAACUCUCUAACUUCUUCUCCUUCUUCAAUCUUGCACAAACAUAUAGCACAUUCCACUGAAUCCAAAUUAGACCCCGAAUCGUGCUCGAAACGCCUUAUUCUAAGCUCAUUAUUAUGAUCGUGAGGUGUUGUAGCUGCAUCUUCAGAAAUGACAGUGAAGUUGUAAUUACAGGAAUGAGAAAAAGAUUGAAAUAGGACGACAUUCCAAGCCCAUUUCAAAUUUGUAACAAUAAAGUCUAUAUAUUUUAGUAAUUUUGAUUGAGGAAACAUUUGAAAUGCUUUAUUAAAGAUGUAGCUGAAGAUAAUACAUAGAAAAAAGAAGGAGAUGGCUAAUGUUGAUGGACUCAUUUUCUUUUCUUUUUGUUUAAGUGAUUGUUGAAAUCUUGAGAGAUAAUACUAUGCACACUUACAUAGGUUUAUAUAGUUUGCUAAAGGCAGUGCCUGAAGAGCUGAG
rnacentral:lncRNA from 1 species